GACUAUGCGGAGAAUAAAUAAGAGUCUAAUUCAAAUUAGACUUACAUAUGCAUAAUACGUAGGCUUAAUUUGGCAUUGAGGUCGAUCUAACGCUAUUAGAUAGAAUGGAGUUGACAAAAAGUAUAUAGGGAUAUGUUUCUACGUUUUUCGAUGGAACUGUAAAAAAUAUAUCGUAACCAACUAAUCACAAUAUGCGAAACGUAAUAUUACGUAUGAAAACAAAUAUGAUAUUUUUACGUACGGAAACAAACAGGAUAUUUUUCUAUCGUCUUUUCUCACCACACGUAACGCAAUCUCCCCGCAAUCUCAAACAAAGCCUUGGUGUUUGGAUGUAAUUGAAGCUUUUGUACUCCACCUGAAUAAAAAUUUUUGCACCAUCAACUUAUUUUUUGCUUUAACAAAUUUUAGUUAAGUUUUCAUUAAUUUCAAUUAAAUUUGGGUGAUUUCCCCUCUCUUUUCUCUCUUCGCUUUUUUUCUUUUUUUUUUUCUUUUACUCAUCUAAAAAAUCACUUUAUUUUUCGUAACCUUAGCGUUUGAUUGUAUAAUAACACAAUUUUUUAAAUAGCAAAGAUGUUAAAUCUUUACAAAUGAUUUUAAUUCUUCUCAAUGUAGAUCGAAUGGGAAAAAAAAAAAAAUAAUCUGUUAGGAGAUGAUCUUUUGAUUUGAAAUUAUUUUCUUUGGUUAGUCAGAUUGAAAGCUAAAUACUAUUUAAUAACUAUAUAUCGAUCCAAAGUUUAAAAAUCACUUAUAAAUUUUUCUAAAUUUUAAAUUAAUCUGCAUAUCCUUCUAAACUUAUAACACUAUGAAAAUACUCUUCCAAAUUCCAAUUAAUUUUUUGUUAAUUGCCAUUAAAUCUUUUUUAGCUUCCUCUCUUCUUCUUUUUCACUCUUUUUUUUCGCAAAUUAAAUCAGUUCCCUUUUCUUUUCAGAUAAGUUAAUUACUCUUUCAUAGAUUUGGCACUCAUUGUAUGAUCACAAUUUCUUAUUAUUAUUAUUACGGAGUUAUGUGAUCGCAAAAAAUUCUCUUUUUGAUUUAAAGUGAUUUGGAAUUUAAGGAAAAGAAUAUAUAUAUAUAUAUAUAUAUAUAUAUAUAUAUAAGUUGAGCUAGAAUACUAUCGGUAGUAAACGAGCCGUUUUACUACCGAUUUGUUUUCGAUGAUAGAGCUUCCAAAUUGACGAUCGGCUCCGUUAAAUAUGAUCUAAACCAUUUAAACUAUCUAGAAAUCAAAUUUCACGCACUUUCGAUAGUGUUCUUUUAUCCAUCAAAUGAACAGAAAAAUGAAUGGCUGAAAAUGAAUACUCUUUAAAAAAUGAUGAUAGGAGCCUUGUAAUCAAGAUCAAGAGUAUAGAUCUUGUUUUAAAUAGUUUAAUAAUUUUUUAGGUGUGGGUUAAAAAUUCAAAUGAUUGGGUAUCUUUGUAUGCGAAACGAAAAAGGCCAUAUGCCUGUUCGACCAUUAAAACUAUUACUCUAAGUUUAAAUGGAUGUAGAAUAUCCGAAAUUAUAUGAUAUUAUGUUUAACGGAGUUUAGAGAAUACGUGGUAGCGGGUACUAGUAUAUACUAGUGGAUAUCAUGGGGCUCACUAUUAUAUUAUCUUCAAAGUAUGUAUAUAAUUGAUAGAUAUCUUAUUACAAAAUGUUAUAGCUGAGUAGCCUUCUCUUCUCUCCUUCUCUCUCCCUCCUUAUAUAUAGUAUAGCGAGGCUACUAAUACUUUGGAAGUACGGAGCUUCCGAUGCUUUCAGGUCGUUGUGUUGAUGCUUGCGACUUUCAUAAGGGAUUCAUAUCUGAGCUCUGUUCAAUAACUGGGAUCUAGCAGUAUUUGACAGUAUCUAGAAAAUAAAUUUUAAUAAAUUUUCGAUAUCAUUUGCUGGGAAUCACACGGCCGCUCAGAAUCACACGGGGCUGAAAAUACAAAAUCAUACAAACAUAGAUAAUAUGACAGUAAAAAUUUUAGAUCAAAAAUAUUGAUCUGUUUUGAUAUAAUUUAAAUAAUUAUUUCUUUUAUAUCAAAAUUUCACAUCAUUAUGGAUAUUUCGUACACGUUAAACUUGCAAACUGGCUACACCCGACCAAUUAAAAUUAUUGAUUUGAGUCCUGCUCGACCACUAGACAAAAUGAUAUCGAAAAAUUCAAAAUUUUAUUUCCUAAGUACUUCAACAAUAUCUAGGAUCAAGUUUACGGAGCCGAUCAACGAUUGAAAGGUCCACAUCGAAAACGAGCUGGAAGCACGGAAGGCUCCGUUGCUUCCGAGAUAGCAUAGUAGCUCACUCUCUCUCUCUCUCUCUCUCUCUCUCUCCUCUCCUCUACUAUAAGUAUAUACUUAUAUAAGCGAGGCUACUUAUACUUCUGGAAGUACGAGCCUUCCGUGCUUUCAGGUCGUCUUUGAUGUUAGCGACUUUCAAAGCAUGGUCAAUCGGCUCUGUUAAACUGAACAUCUAGAGAUAUGUUGAAGUAUCUAGAAAAUAAAUGGGUUUAUAAAUUGUCGAUAUCAUAUUGACUAGGAACUAAGGAGCUCAAAAUCAACCGGGCGCGAGGGUCUGAAAUAAAAAUACAUACAAAACAUGUAAUAUUCAAACAAUUAAAUUUUAGUAUCAAAAUAUUGAUCUUGUUUUACUAUAAUUAAAAAUUUUCUAAUCAAAAUUUCAAUAAUUUGGAUAUUGCUUCUACAUCGUUAAACUGCAAAUGGUCACGCGACCAUUCAAAAUCUAUUGGAUUGAGUCCCUUACGACCACUAGACAAAUGGAUAUCCGAAAAUUACAAAAUUAUUUUUCUAAAGUACUUCAAAUACUCUAGAUCAAGUUACGAGCCGAUCAACGAUAUCAGAGAGAAGAUCGAAAAAAAACAUUCAAAAAACGAGCUGGAGGCGGAGGCUCCGCUGCUUGCCGCAUAGCCAUAAGUAGCCUCACUCUCGUCCUGCCUCUCUCUCUCUCUCUACUUUAAUAUAUAUAAUAAGAUAUAAGCCGAGGCUACUAUACUUCUGGAAGUAACGGAGCCUUCCCGGCUAAUGCUUUCAGUCGUUUUGAUGUUGCCGAGCUAUUCAAAUGGUCAAUCGCGCUUGUUAACUUGCAUCUAAGUAUUUGAAGUAUCUAGCAAAAUAAAUUUUAUUAAUUUGUCAGUAUCAUUUGCCUAGGGAACUCAAGAGGGCUCAAAAUCAACCGGCUGAAAAUAAAAAUCAUGACAACAACAUGAAAUAUGACAUUAAAAUUUUAGAUCACAAGAAUUGAAUCUUUUGCCCCGGUUUAUAUAGUUAAUAAUUUUGAAUCAAAAAUUUCACAAUUAAAUUUGGAUAAUAUUCCUACAUCGUUAAACUGGCAAAUGGCUCACCGCUGGCCAUUAAAUAUUGGAUUUUGAGUCCCUUCGACCACUGACAAAUGAUCAUCGAAAAAUUACAAAAACUUUAUUUCUAAUCUUCAGAAUUACUCUAGAUCAAGUUUAACCGGGGGGUGGCCGAUCAAUGAUUCGAAAGACCGGCAACAUCGAACGAAUUUAGAACGCCACGAGGCUCAUUAGUAUAAUAUAAUAUAGUAUAUAUAUAUAUAUACUAGCUGAAUGUACACCAUGCACAAUGCAGUAACAAAUUUAUUAUAAUUUAUUUUAAAUCAUAUAAAUGAUACAUUAUCAAUAAUAAUCCAAAAAUUUCUACAAUCAAUUAAUAUAUUAUAACAUGUAAUGUGAUUACAUUAUUAUUUAGAAAAUAAUUUUAAUAUGCCCGACCGUGGGGUUUUUAUUUAUAUCAUCGAACGAUUUUUAUAUUACCUUUUGAUUUUCGAUGAAAUCAAUUAAAUAUGUACUUUAAACUAAAAGCCAUCAAAAUUUAAUUCACAUUGUAUUUAAAAUUAUAAAAUUUAAUUUAUGAUCCACGUCAAUUAUAAAAAUUAAUUAUGUAAUUCAAAUUUGAUUAUCAAAAAAUUAAAUUUAAUUCAUAUUGUAAACUCAAAUUUAUUUUAUAUCUAAAUAGAUUAAUAGCAAUGCUAGUUUUUAACAAAUUGCAUCAUACGUUUGGUUUUAAUCUUGGAUAUUUUUUUAAUCACAUUGCAUUAUAAUAGGACUUGAAUUUACUAGAUGGAUGCGAAUGCUAUUUUUUAAUUGGAUGAUAUAUAACUGAUCUUAUUGAGAUAUUAUUUAACAAAUUGAUUCUUAACCAUUUAUAGAAAUUAGUUUUGAUAUGUAGUUUAGAAAUUAAUAGAAUUGAUCAUAACCGUCAUUUUUAUCUUGCACAUAUUUUUAACAAAUUAAUCAAUAAUCAUUCGAUGCCGAAUAUAUUUUAUAUUUAUAGAUUGGAUCAUAACGUAAUUUUCUUUUGAGAUAUUUUUAACAAAUUAAUUCAUAACCAUGCAUUAGGGAAUAUUAUUAUUCCUUUUGGAUUCGUCUGUCAUUGUCGAAUUGCUAAUACCUUUCCCUAUAUAAUAGUAUAACAUACUAUCCUAUACCCUAUAUAUAAAGCACUAUAUUCAAUGGGUCCUCAUGCCGACAGACCACUUUUCCGCCGCUAUCCGUACAAAAUUUUACAUAUAAUGAAUAAAAUAGACAUAAGAAACAGUAAUGAAUGUAAUUCUCGCCAUUAACAAUUACUGAUGUGAAAUCCUAAAAUAUAAAUUUUUCUAUUUAAUUUCAAAAGUAAGUUUUCUAUAACAGAUUACGGGUGUGAAAAUCCUAUAAAAGAUAUUUUUCUAUUUUAUUUUAAAAUAUCUUUUUUAGAUAUUAUCUAUUUAAUUUUAAAAUAUAUUUUCUUUUUAAGAUAACGGAUUUUAUUUUUCUAUUUAAUUUCAAAAAUUUAUUUCCUAAUAGAUUUUAUUUUUCUAUUUAAUUUCAAAAGUAAUUUUUGCAUUAGAGAUUAUUGUUAAUUAUUUAUCAUUUAAAGCAUAUCUUUCUUAAUAGCGUGAUUUAUUAUUUUAAAUCUUUUAGAUACAUAUUUGGCAAUCAUAUAAAAUAUGACCUAAAAUUAAAAAAUAAUUUAAAAAAAUUAUAACUUUUUCUAAUAAUUAUUACGUGCAUUUGCACGUACAUUUUACUAGUAUAUAUAUAUAUAUAUAUAUAUAUAUAUAUAUAUAUAUAUAAAAGCGUGAGUUUUAAAUUUUUUCCUGUUUUCAAAAAUACCUCUAUCUUUUCUACCAAUAUUUUCAUAUUCAGUAAUUUCAACCAUUCGUUUCAAAUAAUUUUUCAAAUAAUAAUUUAUUCUCAAAUAUAAAUCUUUAAGUUUUUACUAUUGGAUCUCAUCCAACGAUUAAAAAUAAAAGUAUCUGUCACUUUUCUUGACAAAAAUACCCUCAAUAUCCGUUAUCUUCUAUCUACGCAUUUUACAAAUAUGUACGUGUUUUUCCAAACGUAAUUUCCGUCAUAACGUAAAAUAUCUGUUAUCUUCUGUUUCUCAAAUAUUUUCUUUCUCACACGUAAUACGUGCGCCAAUCACGUAUAAUAUUGUUAGAAAGAUUUAAUACCUAUCUAAUUUUUAAAUUUUUUAGUAAAAUAUUCAAAAAUAAUAUCCACCAAAAUAUUUUAUGCGUUUCUUAAAUAUAGAGUAUAUAAUGCAAUCAGCAUAAAAUAUUGCUAGAAAGAUUUAAUACCCAUUUUAGGAAAACUAAAUGGUUAAUUAAAUAUAAUUUUAAAUUUUUAAAUUUGUUUAGUAAAAUAUUCAAAAAUAAUGCCCAUAAAAAUAUUUUAAGUUUCUUAAAUAUAAAGCAUAUUUUAAUGCACUCCCAUAUAAUAUCUACAUAUCUUUAUAUAUAAAUAUAAUAUCUAUAAUAUCUAAUCUUAUCUCAUCAUAAUAUUUAUUCAUACACAGAAAAUAUUUUUUUUGAGACAUAUUUUUUUAGUAAUAUCUUUUUUAUUUUCACCUAUAUUUUUUUAAAAUAUUUUUUUUAAUAAUAUCCUUUCUCCAUCGCUAGCACCAGUAUAUCGUAGCACAUCAUCAUCGUCGACACCAGCACAUUGUCACUUUUGCCAUCUUCAUUUGGAGAGGUAUUUUGAUCCCACCUGAAAAUUUUUUAUUUUUUUAAUGUAUUAUUUUUUUGGUAUUUUCUCAUUUUUAUGUAUAUAUUUAUCAAAUAUAAAACAUAUAUUUUUUUGGUAAUAUUCUUUUUCAUUUUCACCUAUAUUUUUCUUAAUUAUUCUCAAAUAUUUUUUUUAGUAAAUCAUUUCUCAUUUGUCACCAUUGCCGGCACCUGCACAUGGUCAUCGUCGUCCUCCUCCUCAUCAUCAUCAUCACCAGCACAUUGUCCCCUUUGUCACCUUCACUAUAGUUAUUUUGAUCCCACUGAAUUUUUUUAAUGUGUCUUUAUACUCUUAUAGUAUUUUUUUUUUAGUAUUUCCUUGUUUUUACCUAUGUAUAUUUUUUUAGUAAUAUUCUUUUAAAUAUUUUCUUUGUCGCAUAACUGCCAAUCCUUUCUUACAUAAUACGCACGUUUUUUCAAAUAUAAUGAAAUACAUAUAAAAAAUCCUUACAGUAUAAAUUAAUUAAAAAUAUGUAAAACUUAUCUAGAGAUAAAUUAAAGUUAGAAAAAAAAUAAUUAAAUGAUAGACAUACACCUCCAUUAACGAUUUAAAAUUUAAAAUGUAAAUAUAAAUUUAAUUUAGAAUUAGAUGUGACAUUUUGAAUUAAAAAUAAAUUAAAAUUUUGAUACUUUUAGAUUAAAAUAUAUAUCCAAUCUUCUAAAUCUCGUCAUACUUACCUAUCAUCUCUUUAUCAGAUAUCGAGCAUAUUUUGAUAUUUAACCUCCCAAUCUUCUUAUUCUUAUCCCAAUUUUAUAUAUACUUAUUAUUUUUCACACAUAAUACCCUCCACCUAUGCAUUUGUCACUACAUAAGUGACGCCGACACAUCGUUGUUGUCACCUUCACCGGCACAUCUUUAUCCUCCUUCUCACCGACACAACUUCGUUGUCACCUUUGCUAGCAUGACGUCGUCGUCUUCACACUGCAUGUAUAUCGACGGAAGUACACGAAUUAUGUCAGCGUUGUUUAUGGUCUACUGACAUGUCAUCGGUGGUCGAGAUACAUGCAUAUGCAAGUCAUUGGUGGUCAACAAUGUAUGCGUUGAUAAUUCAUAUACACAUCAAUCUAAAUACUCUUCAUCCUCAUAUAUCUAUUGCUAAUAUAUUUUUUUUAAAAAAAAAUUUUCUUUCUUUUCUAUUACUAAUAUAUAUUUUUUUAAUAAUUUAAUUUUUAGUUAGAUUUAUUAUUUUUAAAUUAAAGAUCUCAAAGUCUCAUCCCAAUUGUUUUUCUUUUAUUAUCUUUAAUUUCUUCCUAAACAAGUUUAAUAAUUAAAUUCAAAUUAUAUUUCAUUUUCUUUAGUUAACAUAUUUUAAUAAUAUAAUUUUUCUUUACAUAUAAUAUACUAACACUUUAUAUCAAAUUUUAAUACAUAAAUGCUAUAUUAAUUUUCUAUCAUCUGCACAUACCCAAUUUAUAUAAAAGUAUACCACACCUCUAAAAAGCUCACGAAUUUAAAUUAAAAUUCAAUUCAUAUUAUGUAAAAUUAAAAAAAAUUACAAAAUCCAUAAAUAUAACUAUGUUUCUAUGACAUUAUAUAUUUUGAGCAUCUAUUUAUCAAAUUAAUCAACUUUUUUUAUAUUGUUAAUUUUUAUGUUCAUUUAAUGCCUAGAUAUUAUGGUUUUAAAAAUUUAUAAAUUUUAAUGUAUAAUUUUUUAAAAACGAAUGUUAAAUAUUGAAUGUGGUGUAUAAAACAUGUACAUUGGGUACAGCAAAAACUUCUCAAAAUAUGAACAAUAUCUCAAUAGGAUUCAAAAUUCUCCCAAAAUUGUAUUAAUAUUUUUACGAUCUUCUUCAAAUCAAUUUGUGUGUGUGUGUGUGUGUGUGACAUUUUUACGAUCUUCUUCAAAUCAAUUUGUGUGUGUGUGUGUGUGUGUGUGUGUAUUAGGGUAUAAAAAAUGUUAAAAUCUUUGCCCAAAUUAAGCCCAAUUAAUUUGAACAGUAAUAAUUGGAGAAUAGUAUUACAGUUAGUCUAUAUUUCAAUUCCAUUAAUAACUUAAAAUUAAUAUAUAUUUUAGAGAAAAAUUAUUUGAUUUUUUCUUACGUGCAUUGCACGUGCAUAUGACUAGUAUAUAUAUAGAGUCCGGCUGUUAUACUAUUAGUAACACGGAGGCUUCCAUGCUACUAAGUUGUUUUCGAUGAUGCGGCUUCCAAAUCAACGAUCGGCUACCGAUUAAACGCAUGGCUUCCAAAUCUCAUCCAUGCGUUUUAACCAAGAAUAAUCAAUGUUCUGAGUCCAAGACAUUUAAAAAAAAACAAUUAUGUGGCAUGUAACACUUUAGUUCUCAAAAACAAUUAUGUGGUAUGUGACACUUCAGUUCUCAAACUUUAAUUUGCAGCAAUUUCUAGAUCGAAGUUUUAAAUUGUUGCGAUCAAAUUCCACAAUUUCAUUUAGUUGACUAAUUAUCGUAAUGUGUCAUUAAUCACAAUACUGUUAUAUUACUUUUAUAUUAGCGACACGCUAGUAUUUAGUAAAUUAAAUUGAGUUGCAAGAUUUGAUUACAAGAAUUUAAAAGUUUGAAUUAAAAAUUUACUGCAAAUUAAGAUUUGAGGACUAAAAUGUUAUGUGCCGCGUGGUUUCGGGACCAAAAGUGUGAUUUACCCUAAAAAAAACUUCUCCCUCACCCACAACUUUUAAAAAAAAAAGAAAAAACUGUAUAUAAAAACUAAAAAAAUCUUCAAAUAUCACCCAUCUGGUUUCACACUUUUUUUAUUUUAGUACCAUGUGGUCUCUCUCCAAGCCUUACAUAUGACUUUCAUAAAAUACGGCUUUUCUAUAUGUAUCUGUAAGAUCGAGUAUGAAAUUCUGUUUACUCACUUUAAAUUGAGUACUUAUUCUAGCGAUUUGUUCAUAGUUCCUGCCCUUCCAUCGAAAUAUUAAUCGGAAGCAAGAAGAAAGUACGAAUCAAUGAAAAGAAUACUUCGAAUAUGUUAGAAUUCAGAAAGUAAUUUAAUUGUACGAAAGAUAUUAUAUUAACAAUGUAGCUGCUGCAUUCUAGCUUUUUUUUUAGAUUAAUUUCAUACAAGUUCCUGCAAAUAUAGUGAAUGACAAAUAUAUCUCUACAAAGCUCAACUUUCAUAUAUUAUCCGUACAAAAGUCCUAAUGUUUUCUAAUAUAUCCCUGCCGUUUGAAUCUGUUAGAAAAAUUUAGUUAAUCACAGGUUAAAAUAUUUAAUCCUGAUUAAAUUUUGACAUUUUUAUCCCUCUUAAAUUAUACUAUUAUGAUUUUUGAAGAAACAUAUUUAUGAUAGUAAAAUUGAAAAUAUAAACAGUUCUCCAAUAGCUCUCUAACGGUAAUAAAUCAGAGAGAUAUAUUUAUAAAUAUCAGGAUUUUCAAAAAACAGUUAAACUUUAUAAAAAUAUAUUUAUUAUUUAUUAUAUUUACAGGAAUACGUAUAAAAUUAUUAUUUUUUUAUUUUCCACGCUGCACGUGGCGGAGGGAGAAGAAGCGAGAAGUUGCGUUGUCGAACGAGACGAGAUAGGAGUCGGUGAUGUUUGGAUGUUUUCGCACAAUUUAGUAGAGCACGAACCCCAACAUCGAUCUCAUCUUGCUCAGCAUAUUAUAGCCACAGGAGAAAAUUUUGGGAAAAAUUGAGAGCAAUUUAUCUAUUUUUCAGAUACAAUUUUUCUUUUUUCGUAUAUAAGUUGAAUUCUAUAUAUCUUCCUAAUUAACACAGAUGGGGAUGGAAAGCAAAAAAAUCCAUGAAUGAUCGAUUAUAGAGUGGUCUACAACUGAUGCGGUGGAUCAGAUCAAAGCGCGAGUGAAUCUACUAAUCAACAAACCAAGAAGCCAACUAGGGCUUGUAAUUUUGCUUGAUAUUUAUAAGCCGGUUUAUAUUUGACUCAAAAUGAGUUUAUAUGAGUCCGACUAUUAUACUAUCGAUAGUACCAAGCUCUUGGUAUCAUUGAGUUUUCUGGCGUUAGAUCUACCAUUUGAUCUCUGCCUACUUAACCCUAAGGGACCACUAUCAUCCUAACCGCAGAUCCUUUCAUCCAACGGCCGAAAACUCAAUAGCACCAAAUACUUUGUAUUAUCAACAGUUUAGUAGCAUUAUCUUUUUUACUAUCAAAUUUUUAGUCUUUCGAUCAAUUUCUUUCAUCUUUUUUAACUAUUGGAUUAAAUAUUAUAAUCCAGUGAAGACCACUCAACCUUAGGUAACCACUCAACCCUAAGGGACUAAUAUCAUCCUAAUCCUAUAAUUUCUCAUCGAAGGGUUAACAACUUGAUAGCAAAAAUGAUCUUUUGCCAUCAAUAGUAUUCCGGCCUGUAUAUUACAAUCUUUUACUAUUUAGAUUUUAGAUGAUUCAAAUGUAAAGAGAUCUAUAUUUUAUAAAUUUUAAUUAUUAAAUUAAGAUUCUAAUUUCUAACUCUAUUUCAAUUUUUUUACCUACUAGCAAAGUCGACAAUCUAACUUAUAGUCUGCGAGCCAACUCGUAUUCGGCUCAUUAAUAAACAAGCCUAAUACGAGCUGAAUUUUUAGCUCGAUAUUUUAACGAGCUAACUUGUGUUCGCCUUGUUGCCAGCUCUAAAGCCAACACUCUUACAUGUUAUCAUGUUAAACAAACUGAAAAACAUGUAGAGCGAGUUAAAAAAAAAUUAUCAAAAUAUGGUAAGCAAACGGGCAUUAAAUUAGAACAAAACAACUGAAAUUUUUACCGAGUUCAAAUAUAAAAGAGAAUAAUUGGUUAUGAAUUUUCAAAGUACAAAAUCAAAAUAUAUCAUAUUCAAAUCUAAUUUUCUUUUAAGUAUAAAUUAAAAUUGUUAUAUAUCAUAUAAUAUAAAACUAAUCCAACUCGUUUUUAUUUAUUUGUACAUAUAAUCAUCCCUACUCCCUCUUUUCUAUUUUGUAGCAUAUUUAAAGCAAAGCAGCUAGAAGAUUCCAGGAACUUUCCAUUUGGAAACGAAAAUAAAACAUCCAAUGGAAUAAUUCAGGUACAAUAUAAUGGAGUUUUUUUAAAAUAAUCUUUUAAAAAAUUUUACUUGGGUAAAUGAUCCUUUUAAAAUAUUAUUUAGCUAAUAAACUAUCAUGUUGGAUAAAAAAAGAGAAAUGCAAUGAAUCAUUUUCCAAUUUAAGAAAACGUUUUCGUCCAUAAAAAGUGUUUCAAAUUGGUAUGGCUAUUUAUAGACUGUCCAAUUCAGUAUCAUGUUUGGACAAAAAUAAGUAAAAAAACUCACUAAUUUUAGAAAGUGUUUUCGUCUUUACAGAUUAAGCAUUUUCAAAUUGUUAUCAUUACCUAUAAUAUUUUUUUAGGAAAAACUUUAAAUACCAUCCGUGUGGUUUUGCACUUUCUCACUUUAGUAUUCCAUGGUUUAAAAUGUAUCACUUUCGUACUCUGUAGUUUCAUUUUUUUCUUUUUGUUAUUUCUCCACUAAUUUUUUUCAUUAAAUCAGUAGUAAAGUUAAAACUAAAGGGUACUAAAGUGAAUAUUCAAUAAACCAUAGGUGGGGUAUCUGAAGUUUUUCGUAUACGAUUUAACGAAAUGCUAACGGAGGGGCUAAUAAAAAGAGAAAAAUAAAACCGCAGAGUACUAAAUUGAUACACUUUAAACCACAGGGUAUUAAAGUGAGAAAGUGCAAAACCUCAGGGAUGGUAUUUGAAGUUUAUCCUCUUUUGUAUAUGAGGAUUUUUAUAAGGUUGUUAGAAUUGUAUGUAAAUUAUUAAAACUUCCGUUUUUGAUCGUUAGGAUUAUAUAAAUAUAUUUUUAGGAUAUAUGAAUAGAUUGUUAGGAUUUUUUAAGUUGUCAAGAUUAUAUGUAAUUUGUUAAAAUUUUUAUAUAAUUAUUAAAAUUUUAUUUAUAAACUUUUUAAAAUUAUAUUUUAAAAAAGUCCCAAUAUAAUUCUAUCGGUCUAAAGGAAAAAAAGAAAAUAAAAAACAAAUUUCUAUGUACUUUUAUCCUAAUAUUUUUCAUCAACAUAUAUAUUUGGAAGUUCUUAUUUUCAAACACGCAUUCAAAGAGAACUCAAACUGUACUUUCAUUAAGGAUAGACCCGGUGCAGGCAAUAAUUUCUUAGUAAAUCGAAUCUAAAAUGCCACGCGGCGAUUCGCAACGCAUCCGUGACUCCACAUCAACGUCUCACGGGACUCGCGCCGCCGUACACGUGUCACGAAUCCGAGCCCCAGCUUUUGGAGCCUUGAUCACGUGAUUGGUCGGCGCUAUCCCAGCGCUCACGUGAUCCGAGGGGGCCAAUGAACCCUCAAACCCACGCAACGCGCACCCGGGUGAGACACGCGUCGCAGUCCUACUGGCCCGCGCUCGGGCCCCGCGAGUUCGGGAGACGUUGAACCCGGGAGGGGGCAAAAGCAAAAGCUCACGCCGCGGCGAAAUCCGACCGCCCGUUUUGGCGGGCCAAUCGCGGCCGUACGUCCAGUCCGGCCGUCCUGAUCGCGCCACCUGUGCGGUACACGUGUCGCGGGGCUAGAGCAUCCGUCGUGAUCUCGCUCCUCCCUAUAAAUACGCGCCCCCACCCCCUCCAUUUCCUUCGUUCACGGCCCCCAUUUUCACUCGUCGUCAUCAGAAAUUUCAAAUUUCAAACUAAUUUAGAGAGAGAGAGAGAGAGAGAGAGAGAGAGAGAGAGGGGGCCGUCGAGGUAUAGAGAGAGAGAGGGAGAGAGAGAAAGGGCCAUCGAGGUAGAGAGAGAGAGGGAGGGAGGGAGGGCGAUGGCGUUUAACCUAGCUCACCAGAUCGGGACACUAUGUGGGGUGGCGCCGGUGGCGGUGGAGGCGGCGGAUAGGAAGCCGGCGACGGCGGCGGUGCCGGUGCCGGGGGCGAACCUCCGGUGCCGGAUCCACAAGGCGGGGGGCGAGAUCGACCAGAUCUCGCCGCCGAUGAGCCCCUGCCGAUCGCCGGUGAUCGCGGCGGCGCUUCCGGAUCUCGCGGUGGCGUGCCGCGCCCUGACGGCGGCGGACGCGGCGGCGGAAGCAGCGGCGGCGGCGGCGGCGGCGGAGGAGGAGAUGGAGAGGGUUCACGGAGGAGGGGGAUCGGAGGGGGGGAAGGGGGUUCCGGUGUACGUGAUGCUCCCGCUGGACACGGUGAGGCCCGGGGGAGGGGGGAUGAGCCGGCGGAAAGCGAUGGGGGCGAGCCUUGCGGCGCUGAAGAGCGCGGGGGUGGCGGGGGUGAUGGUCGACGUGUGGUGGGGGAUCGUGGAGAGGGAGGGGCCGGGGGUCUACGAUUGGAGCGGCUACGACGAGCUCAUGGACAUGGCGCGCCGCGUCGGCCUCAAGGUCCAAGCCGUCAUGUCCUUCCACCAGUGCGGCGGCAACGUCGGCGACUCCGUCACGUACGUUCCCAUAACCCCUCUCUCUCUACUCUUUCUUUUUUCUUUUUCUUUUUAAGAGAAUUUAUUUGAUUUUUCAUGAUUUUCUUUGAUCUUUUUUUUAUAGUAUUUGUUUUAUCGCAUGUUGUUUUUCUUUUUAUUUCUCUCUCUCUUUUCUUUUCCCUUUUUUGUGUGAAUUGGACGGUGCUAGUGCUGCUGCUAUCGGAUAUCUACAUAGUUCUCGGUUUUUUUUUUUUUUUUUGUUUAGGGGUCGGUAUCAUAACGUCGACGUUGUUUCUUCCUUGCCAUGGAAACUUGGCGAGGGAGAGAGCCACAAACACUUUGGUCGCGCACUUUGAUUUGUCACAUGAUAUCAUGUUCCCAUACAUAAUAAAAUUUAUAUAUAAAUAAAUAAAUUAUUAUUACAUUCUAUCUGCAAUUUUUUUAUUUUUUGAUAAUGUUGUGCAAACAAUAAGAAGCAAAUUAAAUGAAUAUACAUGAAAUACAAUUUUAAAAUUUUUAAGUGAAAAUAUAUGAUUUAAUAUUUGUAUGCAUGUAUAUUUGAUCUUGGAUGUACAUUUUAAUAGCGUCCAAACAACUGCAGACGCGUGGGCCGCCCAUGCCGCAUGAAACCAAACAAUGACUUAAUUAAAUUCUUCACGUUUUUGACAUGUUUUUGUGUAUAAUAUAAAUGUCAAAUAUUGAGAUUUUUGAGUAUCAAUCAUCUAUAAUUAUUGAUUGUUAUCUACGUAUGCAUUAAUUUAUCUCUUUUAUCUUUACAAUUUAUUAACAUUAAAUAUAUAUUUGAGUAAAUCUAAUCUAGCAUUGUACAAUAAUGUGAAUAAUAACAAGAAUAAAUAAUAAUGGAAUGGGAUUAUUUUCAAUUUCAAAGGAAACGGUGUCCGAACGUUAUCUCGUUCACACUUUCGCAGAAUCUUCUGGAAGUACGUGGCCUUUAGCCUAAUUCUGGUUUUCUUUUCUUCUAUUUUUUUACUUGGGAAUUAGUUUGCUAAACUUAGAAAAUUUUAUCUUAUUGUAACUUUUCUUAAUACUAUUUUGGCUAUGAUAAUUUACUAUAUUUAUAUCUGUAUUUUGUACCAAUCCUUUUAUAAAUUGCAUUAAUUAUUUAAUCAAAAUUAUUAUUCUAUAUUAGUAAGUAGUAAGAGUUAAAGGUUUACAACUCAUUUAUUAGGCUUUAGAAUUGGAUUAAAGGCCUAAAAAAACGUGACACACUGACGUUGUCGGAUUUAACGCCGCGCUUCUUCACAUGGCUUAUAUCUGUCAACGUCUUAACUCUCUCGCGCAACGGCAUUCACGUGCUUGCCGUUUCCUUCGUACAACUGCGUCCUUUAUUACUUCUUUUUAAAAAAAAAACAAGAAAAAAAAAAACUAUGUAUAUACUAUUAGUACGGAUAAAUUUUAUAUUUAUUUAUUUAAAAAAUUUUGUGUUUUUUUUUAAAUUUUUAAUUUUAAAAUAUAAAUGAAAUAUACGGUUACAUGUAAUGCAGGAUACCGCUGCCGCGGUGGGUGGUGGAGGAGAUGGAGAAGGAUCCGGAUCUGUGCUACACGGACCAGUGGGGCCGGCGCAACUACGAGUACGUCUCCCUCGGCUGUGACACCCUCCCCGUGCUCAAGGGCCGCUCUCCGGUCCAGUGCUACGCCGACUUCAUGCGCGCCUUCCGCGACCGCUUCGCCGACUUCCUCGGCUCCACCAUCGUCGUAUGUAACACAACAUUUUUUAAAAUAUUAUUAUUCUAUAAAUAUUAUUUUUAUAUGUUGCUGAUAAAUAGCGUGUUACGUGUUUUUAAAAACUGCAAAUAUUGGCAUUUAAAAUUUGACUUGCUUUUUAAUUUAUACAGGAGAUCCAAGUGGGCAUGGGCCCCGCGGGGGAACUGAGGUACCCUUCCUAUCCGGAGCUCAACGGCACGUGGAAGUUCCCGGGCAUCGGCGCUUUUCAGUGCUACGAUAAGGUCCGUUUCCCGUGCUAGGCCUAAUCAAAUCACUAGGAAAAGCAUUUUUAUUUAGCAACAAGUGUACGAAACUUAUCUAAACUCGCCAUAAAUUUUAAUUUAACUAUUCACUCUUUUAAAAUUUUAAUUUUUUACUAUCUAAUUUUUUAAUUUAAUUAAUUUGAAUAAGUCAAGAAUAUUUUAUUUUUACACAUAAUUCUCGUAAAUAGACUGUAGUUCAGAUAAGUUUGGUACAUUUUUACCUUUGAAUUAUACAUGUAUGUAUUGGAGUCUGAAUUUUGCUGGUGAUCAUGUGCGCACAGUACAUGCUGAGCAGCCUGAGGGCGGCGGCGGAGGCUGCGGGGAAGCCGGAGUGGGGCCAGGGCGGGCCGACCGACGCCGGGGGCUACAACAGCUGGCCGGAGGAGACCCCGUUCUUCCGCCGCGAGGGCGGGUGGGACGGCCCCUACGGGGAUUUCUUCCUCUCGUGGUACUCGCAGCUCCUGCUCGACCACGGCGAGCGCGUGCUCUCCGCCGCCGCCGCCGCAUUCGCGGGGCGCGGCGGCACCAAGCUCUCCGUGAAGGUGGCGGGGAUCCACUGGCACUACGGCACGCGGUCGCACGCCCCGGAGCUCACGGCGGGCUACUACAACACGCGGAGCCGCGACGGGUACCUCCCGAUCGCGCGCAUGAUCGCGCGGCACGGCGCGGUGCUCAACUUCACGUGCGUGGAGAUGCGGGACGGGGAGCAGCCCCCCGAGGCGAUGUGCCGGCCCGAGGCCCUGGUGCGGCAGGUGGCGGCGGCGGCGCGCGAGGCCGGGGCGGCGCUCGCGGGGGAGAACGCGCUGCCGCGCUACGACGAGGCGGCGCACGAGCAGAUCGUGAGCAACGCGGCGGCGGCCUACCAUGCUGAACGCGGGGAGGGGGAGGGGGAGGGGGAGGGAAUGGCGGCGUUCACGUACCUGCGGAUGGCGCCGGAGCUGUUCGCGGGGGAGAAUUGGGUGCGGUUCGCGGCGUUCGUGAAGCGGAUGGGGGAGGGGAGGGAGGCGCAGUGCCGGGAGCAGGCGGAGCGGGAGGCGCAGCAGCUGGCCAAUGCCACGGGGCCGCUCGUCCAGGAGGCGGCCGUCGCGCUCGCCAGUGGCUGAGAUCUCCAGUCCCACCCCAGACACCCCAGAGAGAGAGAGAGAGAGAGAGAGAGAGAGAGAGAGAGUGACGAGAAGCAACAGAUUAAGGAGAAGAACACCUCUAUCUCUCUCUCUCUAUCUCUCUCUCUCUCUCUCUAUAUAUAUAUAUACGUAUAUAUAAAUAUAUAUACAAAACCAAACCUAUAGAACAGUGCAUGUCUUUGUUACCUUUUCUUUUGUAUGGUUUAUUAAAAGCAGGGUAACUGGGGUUUUAUGUGUAAAGAUGGUGGGGGUUUGCGUAGGAAGGGGCGGAAAGAGGGUGGGAGAGUUUUGGCGUCUCGCUCUCUUUUUCCCUUCUACCGUUUACUGUUUGUUGUACGAAAUAGGAGAAAGGUGGGAACCAUGUUUACGUAGUAGCUCGAUCGUUUUAAAAGUCGGAGAAGUAAACACUUUGCAUCUAUUUUACUUUCUUUCCUUGUCGUCCCGUUUGGCCUUGGAGAUCAUGGUUGCUGUAUUUCUAAAUCUCCCGACUAAAUUAGCUGUUGUUCCUUAAAAUUGAUGUGGUGAGAAAUUUAAAGGAUUCACAGAACCAGGUACGGGGUCUGAACUUGUCUCUUUCGAGCAGUUCCCUUGAUGCCGCGUGGUUCUUCUUUCAAUUUCAACAAAACUGCGACCACGUAAUUUUUCUUUGGUUAAGGCCUUUUCUUAUUAUCUAACCAAAAAAAAAAAAAAAAAAAACACUUCUUGGUCGCGCCCAAACACUAGGGAGAAGCCACGGGGAUUUAAAAUCUGAAAUGUGCACUUUUAAAAAGAGCAACUCCCAUUUUCAGGGCAACGUAGGUGACGACCCUGCGGCCAAACUUGGGGCAAGUAAUCUAUGUGCAACUUCAAAAAUAUUACUGUUUUAAUCCGGUUUCUGUUCUCAGUUAAAAGCCAUAGUAAGCGGGGAAAAAAAAAAUUUUGAGGCCUAUUUCGAGAGCUUUUAAAACCUCAACAAAAGACUAUGAGAAGAAAAUAAAAAAUACAAAGAACACAGCAAAGAAAACGCAAUGCAUGCACGCAGACGCACAACACACUCGUAUACAUAGUUACAUGCACAUGUAUGUAUACGUACGUGUGCUUUCGUAUGCAUAAGUAUUAUACAUAUAUACAUAUACCUAUCAAAGUGUGUACAUCGCCAGGCGAAAACAGGGGGAUCGUAAGCGACAAAUUCUUAUAAGGCGAGAAUACAUGAAAACAUUGUGAUACAUGAAGCAACAUACAGCUCUCACAAAAAUUAUUUUUCCGACCCUCGCAUUCAUAAAAAAGAAAAACCAUAUAAUGAGGCACAACACAUGUCCUCAAAAUCAAUACAUAUAUACCACACACAUUCAUACAUUACACCCUAGAUUAUACUCAUAUGGAUGAUGAUGAUAACACUAAUAAGAUUAUAAUAAUGGGAGUGAGACAUCGUAGAGCGGAUCGUUCGCAUUUUCACUUGGACGGCUUGGUCUGGCUCGCCACCGACAUCGAACGCAGCCGGCUAGCUAUUUCGGUGAAGGACGGGCGUUGCGCAGGGUCGGGGGCCCAACAUAGUUCCAUUAGCUUCCUCCAUUCCAGAUCGCAGGUUGCUGGGACGGGCGGUCGUAAUGUAUUGUUCACAAUACCCCCUGCGCGGAUUUCAAAAAUCUUAAAGUUUCAGAGGAUAAAUCCAAAUAAAAUAUCUCGAGUCUCGCGCCCUCGACAAGGAAGAGGCAACUCAUAGUCCAGAAAAAGAAAAAAAGAAAACACAUUUUAGGCAUUUCAUCAGCGCUUUAUAUGAGUACAUAUCUAGAGAGAGAGAGGGAGGGAGGGAAAGAAAGACAGGAGACAAGGAAGGAAAGAGUAAUUAUAAGAAUACAUUUUCAGUUCUGAACGGAAGAGGUUUCUUUCAUCUCUCAAGCUUAACUAGAGUUGUUCGAUUUAGUUUCACUUCAUUCUAAAUCUUUGUUGGUACCUCUCUAAAAGUUAGGAUUCUCUAAAAGUUAGGAUGACCUAUCUCUCGAUUUUGGUUCCUCAUCUAGAAAAAUUUGUUGUUUUUUAAAUAUAUUUUACAAAACUAGGUACAACUAAAAUCUGAAUCUAUAUGAACCUAAAGCCUGGACCUCAAAUGUUGUAGAGUAGGGAAAUUAUUACUACCUUGGUCGAUGACAGUUGUACAAACUAAAAUGUCGUUUAGUCCUGUAAAACUUCCUUAAAAGGGACGAUUAGGUGCUUUCUACGAUUGAAUGAACAUCCACAAAGGAUCACCAGCAAAUUACUUAUGUGCACUAGUAAUAACAGAGUAACUUUAGAAAGAAAGUGUUAAGUAAAAAUAAGCCUACCUAUGAUUGCACCGUAAUGCAUAUUGGCGUAUGGUUCAUCCCCAGUAAGAAUUUCCCACAUGACAAUGCCGAAGGAAAAUACAUCAACCUGCAGCAUAGUAACAUCUUAUUGUGUCAAAUUUAAAAAGAAUAAGGCAAUACUUAGUCACGAUAAUAUGGAAGGGGUCAAAAAACAAGUAGAUUAAAAUAUUACCUUUUCAGAAACUUUGUUGCUGCUUCCAUUUAACAAUUCCGGAGCCAUCCAUGGCAAUGUCCCUCUCACGCCGCCAGAAACUAGAGUAUUUCUCUUGAUCUUUGAUAAACCAAAAUCACCAACCUAUACAUGACCUCCAAUGAAGUAAGAACUGUCGCAAACAAAAAUCACUUUGCAUCAAAAUAGAUGUUAAAUAUAUAAAUAACUCACCUUACAAAUAGGGCGCGUUUGAUCUUUAAGGUUCACGAGCAAGUUAUCACAUUUCAAAUCAAAGUGUACAAUAUUUUUCGAAUGCAAAUAUUCCAUCCCAAAAGCUGCAUCCAUUGCUAUAAUGAGCCGUUUACGCCGAUCAAGAUACCUAUAUCCCUUAAUUUAGUUAACGUUACUGACAAUAGAGGGGGGGGAAAGGAAGUUCAAAUGUAAAAACCGGCAAGCAAUCCUUCGGCAAAAAGACAUGCCUAAGGGAAUAAAAAGAUAAAAAAUAAUAGAAGUUUAAAUGUAAAAAACCAGCAAGCACGCACUUAUCCUUUCGCAGCAAGACAUGCCUAAGAGAACCAUUAACCAUGAAUUCCGUCACAGUAGCCAAGGUCCCACCGGGCCCAUCUUGCACGACCCCAUAGAAAGCCACCACAUUUGGAUGAUGAAGUUUCGAAAGAAUCUCAGCUUCCCUCCAGAACUCAUGCGUCUGAGAAACAAUCAUUUUGUUAUUCCAGAUAAAGAUAGGAUGGUAACAUAUUUUUAGACUUAUUUACACAUACACCGCUGCAUACUUAUCUGGUUACAUAAGCACUGCAAAAUCAGAAUUUUGAUGUAUGCCCUAUAUAAACGUUAUUUUCCACAAAUAUAGCUUUGCUCUAACCUAAAGGCCACUCUUUCAAAUGAAAAUUUUCUGAUACAAGAUCAACACCCCCCACGAAUUGGAUGACUCGCAACUUAAGGUUAUGUUUUUGUAAGAAAAUGCACCUUUAAGGGGAAUAUAAGAAAAUUCAGAUUUUACAGUCCCACUGCUGUAGCAACAAAUAUGUUGUUUUGCAUUGUAAAAGAUCCAUUACUUUCUUACUACUAUGCCAGAAUAUACUACAAUUUAGGCAGGACAGGAGAAAAGAGAACGUGCAACCGAAUUGAUACGAAUAAUAAGAUGGUGAGCUUACAAGUCUUUCUUGCUCAGACGAUCGACCAGUAAAGCAGCUUUUCUUGAUGCGUUUAAUGGCCACAUCUGUGCCCCUCCACUUUCCAUGAUACACAGUUCCAAAUGUGCCAGAACCCAAUUCUCUAAGCUCUUCAAGAUCCUCAUUCUUUAUGAUCUGCUGAUUCUCACUUGUAAGUAUACAUUUAAAAGAAAAAAAAAUCAAGUAAAAUAUUGAUAAUUUGGCAGCGUGGUCCUACAUAUAAUAUUUUCCCUGGAUCAUGUACAUACAGUUAGAUGUGUUAAAGUCUUUCAAGCCUUCGCGUAAAUGUGCACAAGAAUAAAACAACACGACAACACUUUUCCAAACCGAGCUCAGACAUCAAAUUUUGAAAUGAUGGGUCAAACAAAAACCAAAAAUGUGACUUAAAUAUUUAAGGCAUUAGACCUGCAAUGUGCUUUUUUAAUUUAUUUUUUUGGGUCACCCACAACCUAACCCUCUGAAUAAUUCAACCCAAGAAUAAAUAUAUUAUUCUGAAUAUACAUUUAUCCAGUUCACCCAAAAUUACUCAACCUUAUUUAACCGAUCUAAGCAGCCACAAAAACAUUGCUAAAAUGGCCUAAAGCAAGUCGUGGGUGCAUUGAACCCAAGCCUGUCCUGAAUUUACAGACAGGUGAUUUAAACCUAACCCAAAAUAGGUUGGGCUGGUCAAGUUUCUGAGUCAAAUAGAAAACUGCCACUCUUAUAGGUAAACUUUUUCAAUUUGCCAGCGUGUGCAAAUUCGAUAGAUAGGCUCUCGUACUAUCCUGAGGGCCUGAAAAUAUUAUUUUCACUAGCAAUGGAACCCUGCGGUGAUUAUGAGAUUUCAGUACUUGGACACCAUGUAUCAAGAUGUUAUUUGCGGUAUGAAAGAUGUAUAUCAAAAGUGGAUUAUCUGGUACCAAUAUUAGUGUUAACUAACAACAUUACUUCGAGAAAAAGUGAAAAAAAAAAAAAAAAUUCAAUGACUAUGAAAAACAUACGACUCAAGAUUUUUCAGUGGUAGACUCAACAUUUUGAUGGAAACAAAGAAAAAUAUACCAUGUAGUUGAAAAAAAAAAGAAAUCUAAAAUUUGCUGAAAUUACCAUACCUGCAAGUUACUAAGAUCAAUGUCACCCAAAGAAACAUCUAAAAUUGGUCCAACAGUUUCUCCUACCUGAAGAAAACCAAAACAUCUUGGUCAUAAGUCCUUGAAUUUGGAUUUGGCAUCACUAAAAAUUUUUACCCUACAGAUAUUAAUACCUCAUACUCUGAAAUAGGUGGCCUAGGAUUCUCUCUCAUUGGCGGAAAAGGAUUUUCAAUGCCACUCUUUUCCAUAAGAUGUAGAUGCCCAAUCUGUGACGAUAUAUAAUCUGGGUGCAGUAUGGUAGAAUCAUCUACAGUCGUUGUAGAAGGUUCAUGUUGCAUUACCUCUUCAAAAUCAAUUUGUGAACCCAACUGACUGAAAUCAAUUCCCUCAUUCUCUCCACCUACAAACUGAUAUGAUGUAGGAACUGCCGCUCCUUUAUCAAGCAGAGACAAGUAACCAACGAGGUCCUGAUCCAUAAGAGAAACAUCUUUGCGUGCAAAUUCAUCUUGGGCAAUAUUUCUAAAGAAAGACCACCGUUUAGGCUCAUGAUUCUGCAUGUUUAAGCUUAGACCAGCAUCGUCCUUAAAGAAGUGACCAACACUUGAGGAUUCUGCAGCUAUCCUAGCCUUUGUAAAGAAAUCGGAGAGUAUCUGAGGGGGAAAUCGAUCAUUAAUAUCAAUAAGAAUAUCUUUCUUCUCUUUACUAGGAACUGACGAUUCCUCUUGAGAAACAACUGUAGCUGCUUCCCCCACCCAGGGUAAAUCUGAGUCAUUCUCAACACCGGUGGCAUUUACAGUUUUAGCAGAUAUCUCCUCCCAGUUAACAUCAGGAAGAGUGGUAGGAGCAGUUUCCUGCUGCAUAAGAGUAGCACCUGCCUCUGUCUGAUCCUCGGAUAAAUCUUUCGAUUCAUUUUUGGCUAUAACAGUUUCGGCAACAGCUGCAACUUUCUCCACGUUUCUUCUGCUUACACUGGUUUCCUGUGAAACCCUAUCAUCAUUUACCACAGAUUUAUCAGAAAUAGAUGUCACAACAGACUCAGGUUUCUGAGCCUUCCAUCCCACCUUAUUGCCUUUGUCGCCACUCAUUACAUUAGUGGAUUGUUCGGUAGAAACUAUAGGUUGAGACUGAGUCAUCUGAGUUAAUGCAUCAGACAACUCUUUAUACUUUCCAGAUUGAACUGAACCAUCCUCAGAGGUUACAGGACUAGCAUUUGGCUUGUUUACUGCUGCAGAAGGGUUCUCUCCCUCAGAAACCAUAAUUUGUUCAGGUGCAGAAUCAACAGCUUCCGCAAUAGAUUCAUGAGCAAGCAUUAGGAAUUGAGAACCAAGUGAAUUGUCUGAUUUCGAUAAUCGACUCAAAAGCAGCCCCUGCUCCCUUGGAAUCCUCUCGGAAUGAAAGACACGUGCAGGGUGAGGAAGAUCUUUGUAGCUGUGAUCGGCCAUUUCACCUUCAUAAUCCGAAAACCCAGAUGUAAAAGCCCCAACAGAUGAAUGGCCGUCAUCUUCGUUGUGCUCAUAACCUGAACCAGAAGGCAAAACAUCAGUUGAUGAUAAGACCGGCGCAGCCUCUAGGUGCCUUUCAUCUUCUUUUGGUGGCAAAAUUGAUGUCAAAUGAUCUGGCGUGGAAGAAACAGAGGGUACUGCUGUUUGCACAUAAUUUAAAGCUGAAGAAUCGUUAUGUGGUUGUACUGCAGCAGAUGUUGCUAUACUGGGAGCAUAAUGGGAAGUAUAUCCAUAAUCAGAAGGUACAGAGAGAGGGAUUGAAACCCUGCUUUCAAUGCUGUAGAAGUGAUCAGAAGCAGUGUUUGCCAUGUAACCAUAAUGCGAACCUUCUGAGUAUUGCAUUCCACGGUCAUGAUAUGAUUGCAAAUGUGCAUCAAAGUCACUGGAUAAGCUUGGCACGGAUAUAGUAGUUGGAGGAGGAAAAAGUAGCGCACUAUGAAUCCCCACUGACUCAGCUGCUUCUCUGCUUGUAUUAAUCUGCUCAGUAUCAAAAUUAAGAUUCAGCAACUGAUCCAAGUCACUUCCUGAAGUGCUUGCUAAGCCAUGUCCACUCGAAGCUUUUCUGGCACCCGCAUUAAUCCCAUUUACAGCAACAACAUACUGGUACUCAGAAUCUCCCUCCAUACUACCAAGGUUAAAACUCGUAUCAUCAAAAUCUGAUGAUGCAAAUAAGAACAUCCUAAGCUUCUGCGAGCCCUCAUCACAUUCUAGAACGUUACAUUCCUCCAUCAUGUUUUGCAAAUCUUCAUCACAGGAAACCGAAACUAAGGCAUCGAGAUCCUCACCAGGGAGUUGAUAUUUUAUUAUGUGAGGUUGGUUAUAAACUGCCAUUGUCUUCUGAACGAGCUCUUGCCAGGGAAUGUCACGAUUUAGACGGAGAAUGCGUGUAUCACCGCCAACAUACCUAAGUUUUCCAUCACUGGGCCUGGGUAAAAUCUUACCCCCAAAACUACAGAGAAUUUUCAUCUUUCUAUAGAGAGGAUCUGAUGAAUCGGUGGAAGUAUAAGUAUGAGCAAUGCCUCCUCGACUACUUCCAUCUCCGGAUGAAGCUCUUGGAGCCGAUGAUCUUGUAGAUGCAAAGUGGAUUUUACUUUGAGAUUCAGAGAAGCUCUUCUUUUCGGUCUCUUUUAAUUGCCGGCUUUCAACAGUUGUUAGCAUUGAAACAUCCGAUCCGCUCUCAGACCCUGCAUAGGAGAUACCUAGCAUGCCUCUCAAGUCCAUGUAAUCAGAGGUGAUAUUGUGAUCACUGGACGUUGUUGGGUUUGAGUGCUUCUUGGACAUUGCCCGUUCUCUCAUGAAUUCAAGAGCAAAUUCCUCACCAGUCUGAAUGGAAUAAUUUAGAACAGGCCUGGUGCCGCUUGAAAAAGUGUAUUCUGGAGGUCCGGUAUUCAUAUUGGUGGAACUUGAUGAUGAACCUUGUGUGAAUCUUUGGCCUGCAGGCCCAACUGUAUCUUUCCUAGCUUCCAUCUAGCAGCUGUAACAGACUGGAGUUUUCCGACCACUCCAAUAAGUUUUAUUGUUCUCACUUCAUUAACCUUCAUUUUAAUGGUGACCACUGUAAACCAGAUAAAACCGGCUCAAUCUGAUAUUUAUUAUCAACCCUAAAACUCAUGUUUCUCAAGAAAGAGUUUAACCAGCGGGAAGGUUGCUGGCCAGUUCUGAUUAUUUAUAAAGCCUUAUCAAAGGACAAAUUUUCAGGAUUGUCUUAGAGCAUAGCAAACAGGGCAAGCAGAUUCAUAACAUGAUUUUCAUGAACCUAUAAUAGAAAUACUCCACAAAAGUAGCAGGAAAGAAAAAUCGUAACCUGCAGCAGGGAGGAAAACAAGUUUAGGUUGUUUUUUAAUCAGUAGAGACUAACUGGUAUCAUAUAAGCCAAAAAAAAGAGAUUAAACAAGAAAACAGAGAGUAAGUAGGAAUGGAAUUCAGAUUUACAAAUUUUCCAACCAUAAGACACAAAGACAGCAACAGCAUAUGUUCGGGCUGCAUAAUAUCACAUUGUGUAAGACUUAACACGUCGGUCACUUAAGUUAGUUACAAAGGACAUACGAUAAUCUCCAUGGAAAUAUUCAAUCCGUCUUUUGGCAGGUAUUUAGAUAUGAUGUUCACACCACAAAUCUGAAAGUGAUUACUUAUUAGAAACUAAGCUCCAAAAGGAAUCGGAAAUGGAAAUAAUCAGCUUCACUUAAAUGUUGUAAAGGUUAGGUUUGGAACCAAAUAACUUGGCUCAGGACUCCAUAUUGGUUCAUCAAUGGAUUGUUUAUAUUGUUUCGUAUGUUGAAGACAGCAUGAAAGUUCAUCUUAUCUAUGUGAGCACCAAUUAAAUGAUAAAAAUUUUGCAUUAUCAAUAUGAACAAUGGUGAUUUGAAUUCUCUCCGUACUUUUCAAUUGUUUUGAAGAGCUUUGUCCGCAUCGAAAAUCAGGAAAGAAUCAACAAAUGUCAAGACCACUUGAACUGCCAAGACGGAACUCUUGGAGACUUGAAUAAUAUCAAAAAUGGAAACUUACACUUCAAAUCAUAGGUCAAAGGCCCAGUAGGCUAGGUUAAUACCAACUAUUUAAGGCUGGGAUUGUUUCCCGGUCAAACUUGGAACAGUUUAAAGAAAUGUUUAGUUAUCUUUAUCCCCUUUACCCUCCAAUCAGAUCAUUUUGAUUAUUCUUUCUAGUUUCAGCCAGUUCCGAGACAAGUUAAAUCAAUUUCUAUCAGCUUCCACUAGUUUCAGUUAAACCUCAAAACAUGACACAGAAAUCACUAGAAAUGCAGCAGUGAAGCCUUCUGACAAACAUAGGGACGGCCGUAAUGAGUGGAAAUCAUCAUUGUAAAACAAACUAAACAAGCUUAAAUACAAAAUGAGAAAGAAACAAGAAGCAGCAAAUACAAUUGGAAUCAUCAGAGAUUACAAACGACAAAUGACAGAACUAAAAGGUCUGAAGGGGCCUUCGGACUUAAGGUUCUCAAGUUUAGAGCCUAACAAAACCAACGGAGCCCAAGGAAGGUAUAACAUACAUGGAUAAUUCACAAGUAAAGCCAUCAACAGAAAUAAGCACUAAAAAUUUUACAGAAGGAACCAUUAUCUAAUCAAUGAAAAGGAAUCAGAUAGGAUAUUAGCAAACUGACAUCAGGUACGAAUAGAUACUCGCCGAUAAGCCUUACAAGUGCAAGAUUAUCCACACUAUUAGCAAAAAUAGACAUCAGGAACUUACAAACCCUCAUAUCCAGAUCCGUAAAGCUCAAAAAUUUACAAAAACUCCAAAACCCCCAAAACACAUCUCAAGCAGAUUCUCAAACCCUAAAUAGUCAAAAGUCAUUACUAGACAUGAACCAAAAUAUGCCCUGAAGCUAAAUCCCAAAAACCCAGAUGCACCAAACCCACAGCAUCAUCAAAGCUUCAAUCUAUAACGUUUCUAACCAUUUCAGAAUUUCCACUAUCACACAAAAACCAGAGGCUGAUUUAGCUAUAUAAAGAUUAAAAAUGCUCGGGAAAAGAAAAAAGAUGGAAAGAGUAACCAAACCAGAUUCCGAAGAUUCACCGCAUCAAAAACAGAUCAUUCACACAAAUCACUUCGGCGCUCGAUGCAAUCGACACUACCCUCGCCUCCCGAUCCAGUAACACUUCGACUCCAAGCGAUUCCCAAAGGAACCGCCCUUACGAGUCCACAGAGGAGGGAAACCCUAAGGAACCGCCCUUACGAGUCCACAGAGGAGGGAAACCUACAAGUAAAGGUACCGAUACUCAGAAGCAACCAAAAAAAAAAAAAAAAACGGAGGGAUCUCGCGGCUAAGAGAAGGGAACAAGCCAAAAACCUGAAACUCACCAUGGAUCAGUAGGUCGCUAUGCUCCUCGAGCUCCCCCGAUUUGGGGCUUCCCGCAAUCGAGAGGAGAGGGGAGUCGACGAGGUCGAUCGAGAGAAGAGGUUCUCCUCUUCGCUCCCGAGCUCAAAGAGCGCUUCUCGAAAAAGCUCGAUCGAGAGAGAGGGAUGAGAGAGAGAGAGAGAGAGUAAUUACGUUUGAAAUGGAGAAGGGUUUGAGAAAUGGGGAUAAUUGUGGGAAUACGCGCUAUUGUUAUUAUUGAAUAAGUUAUACUUAUUCGCUGAUAAUUUAUUCAGGAGCUUUUUUUUGCAAAUAGCCCUCUGACAAAUUUUAUUCGCAAAAAUAGUCCUGUCCAAAAUUUAUUUGCAAAAAUGGCCCUGGCUCUGCCACGCCAGCGUCACGUCAGCGCCACGCGGGCAGGGUCUGGGCCAGGUAUUCAAGUUGAACACGGUGAUUGGUUCACCGUGUCUAAACACAGUGAACCAAUCACCGUGUUCAUGGUGUUACUCACACCCCGGAGUUUGGAUCGGUAUUGCAUUAGACACGAUGAUUUGUUCACCGUGUCUAAACACGGUGAACUGUUCACCGCAUUUAGACACGGUGAACUAUUUACCGUGUCCUUUGUUGUAUUGGCCACGGACUUAGCCAUUUUCGGGGGUGUGAACAUUUGUAUUGGACACGGUGAACCAUUCACCGUGUCCAAUACAACUACCCACCCUACAAACAAUUUGCCGUAGAAAAAUCAAUUACAAGAUUCAAUACAAGAAUACAAUACAGAUACCUAUCAAUACACAUCACAACACAUCACAACAUCACAAAAGUAAUACACAUCACAACAUCACAAAAUUAAUACACUUUACAACAUCACAACCAAUAGAAUAUCAAUAAUAUAAUCAAUACCAAAUAAUCAAAACAGAAUAUACAAAAUAAAUGCAAGUUAUACAAUAAUAUAUAAAUAUAAUAUCAUGUUCUCCUCCCUCGACCUCCUCGACCACGUCGCCUACCACGUCCGCGUCCGCGACCACGACCAACAUCAUGCUCAUCAAAAGGCUCCAAGAUCUCCAACUGGUCUAGAUGCUCUAUAGCAGCACCCUCAAUAACCGGCUCAAUACAGCAGUAGCAUGUGCCGGUAGUAUGUCUGGCCGUGGAGGAGCUGAAGAGGAGGGCUGAUCGGUACGGAUAGAUCUCGAUCGCCGUCGACGCCUAAAAUAAACAAUAUCACCUGCUCGAGCUAGAUCCUGCGGUACUGGUGCUGGUGCCGGGUCCGUAACAUCAGCAUAAGGUGGCUCCCCUAUCGGUGAUGAUGGCAUCGGUGGACUAUAUACGGGUGCAUGGCCGGACGUCGAUGCUCCACCAUAGUCUGCUGGUCCUGGAGGUACAUAGUGUGGAAGCGUAGGUAAAGUCUCCAGAACUGCCUCCAUCUGAUCGGCGACCUGUGAUAGGGUAGCUAAGACUCCACCUCCUGAAAUAUCGGGUAGGACACGUCUGAUCGUAUAAUGUGAUCUCUGCACGAUAUCAACCUGAAAUAAAAGCACAAUCAAAAAAGAUUAUACGAAACUUUCUUGUAUAUAUAAAAAUUAAUAUAAAAAGAUAUUUGCAAUUACAAAUCAUACCACCAUACCUCCUCAUCGUGUCCCGUGGCUGAUAGGUCGAGGGUGCCGCCUGUAUAGGUCAUAGAUAUCCAGCCUCCUGGUGAAAUCGUCCAAUACCACUGCAUGUAAAACGUGGUAGCUGCGUAAUUCGGAUCUGGAUCUGUCUCAGGGGCCACUCUCAUAUAUCUACUAAUAUCCUACCUCAUUCAUCACGCUCAAUAUAUAAGGCGUGUAUGUCCUCGCAAUCCCGUCAUCUGGCUCUGCCUCGGAAUUGAUGGCGGAGUUGGCAAGCAACAGGUUCAGGUAUAUGCUACCUAGCCCAAACUGGCAAAGACAUUGAUCGGCGAUGAUGGAGCCAUAAUUUGUGGAAGCAGACUUAAGGUAGUCCUCGAUCGCAAACCUGGAGACCGCGCCAGACAAGAAAGGUGGAAGCGUCGCUAACACUGCGUCGUUAUAAGGCCUCCAUAUAAUCUAAAUUGUGAAAAAUACAUAUAUUACUAUGCAAAAUUAAAACAUAUUGAUCUCAGUGGUUAAAAAUGAACUAUUGUGAAAAUAAACUGUAAAUGAAUAAUUUUAAAAUUGAGUAUAGACUUUUAAAUUCAAGAUCAAUAAUGUUAUCUUAACUAUAUAUAGUUAAAGUAUUCUAUCAAAAUUAGAAGAAAUUUAGAUUCCUCUAUAUAGUAGCCUAGUUCAUAUAUAGUAUAGAUAUUUAUAAGUAACUCCUCUACCAGUCUCUCAAUCAUCUCCUAUCUCUCGCCAGAUCUUCACAUCUCUCCGCCCCGUCUCUCUUUCUCUCUCUCUCUCUCUCUCUCUCCUCUCUCUAUAUAUAUAUAUAUAAUAACCUCUUAUCAUAUAUAAAUCGUCUCUCUACUCCUCUCCUUCUCCUGCUUGCUCCUCUCCUCUAAAUAUAUAUAUAUAUAUAUUAUAUAUAUAUAUUAUAUAUAAUAAUUAUAAUAUUAUAGUAGUAUUGGCCUAGUUUGAUAAUGCACUUAUUGCAGAAUUGAGACUCUAACAUGAAAGGAGCGCCUAACAAACUAAUUGAGGGCUAAAGCGAACACGGUUUUGGCCGAAGGUCGUUCGGAAUCCGUCGAGCUCCGAGAGAUAUCGCCAAAGGACGUUUUCAGCUUCAAAAUGGAAUGAUAAUCGAACCGUCGAGCCUAACUCUAUAUAUAGUAAGAUAUAAUGAUUGUAAGAUAUGAUACUAGCCCAACUCUAUAUAUAGCCUAGAGGAUUAUAAUGAGAUAUAAUCUAACAAGAAUUUGAAGAAAUUUAGAUUCUCUAUAUAGUAGCCUAGCUCUAUAUAUAGUUAUAGAUAGUAUAGUAGCCUAGCCUUCUAUACACGCGUUAUUCAUUCAUCUUACAUUACAUUGCGAUGGUUGUUUGUGUACUUUAACACACUAAUUAGUGUUAUAUGCUUUUUAUUUGUGGAUACACACCAUUUAUAUCUUCAUGUUGCAAAGGAGUUUUUUUAUUGGGCUGGUAUGUAUCUAAUACAGUUGCCUGAGCAUGCAGCGGAGUAAAAGUUGACAUGCAACUAAGUGUUCCUAUGGGAAAUACUGAUAAAUCACAUUAUUGAAUACAAAAUUCGACACGAUUGAGUAACUUGUAUAUACCUGAGACUCUAACUCUGAUCCAGCUAACCACAGUAAAACUCAAUUCAAUAGUCCUGACAUUGUCCCAAAUGCUAACUAGUAUUCCAAACUGAUUCAUUUAUAUCAUAUUAGUUAUGAAAAAUUAGUAUAUAGAAAACUUAAAAUGAAAAAAUACUUACCGACACCCUAAUGGCAUGUCGACAAGCUCAGGCUGCGGGCCUACUACUUCAGGGCGGCCAAUAUGCAGGUGGUCCCAUGCCCAUAUCUAUACAAAAAAAAACAUUUUUGUUAGAAAUGGAAACAAAAACCAUGACUUAACUAGAAGUAUUAUAAGGGUCUUCUUGUUAGAAGUAUUGUACCUGAACUAAUGUCCCAAAACAACAACACUCGACCUUUCCCCUGAUGCAAGCAUUUCCUAGGGCGCGAUAAAGAUGUGCUAGCGCGGCUACACCCCAUGCUAAUGCACCACAAAGGUCAAAAUCCUCUAAAUGUGGCAACCAUUUCAAAUGCACCAUGUUCCCGCUUGGAUUUGGAAACAAACUACAUCCUAUCUGAAAUAGUAUAUAUGCUCUCGCCGUAGCUCUAACAAUAGCGGGCGGCGGCGGUGUGGGCCAGAGAGAGAGAGAGAGAGAGAGAGAGAGAGAGUGAGUGAAGCUUCUAGGGCUAGGGAGAACGAGAAAUGAAGCUACCUCGGGCAACAAAGGGCGGCGGCGGCGGCGGCGGCCAGAGAGAGAGAGAGCAAGAGGAAGAGAGCGAGAGAGAGAGAGAUCGAGAGAGAGAGAGAGAUCGAGAGAGAGUUCAGGGCGGCGGCGGCGGCGGCGUCAGCGGCGUCGGCCACAGAGAGAGAGAGAGCAAGAGGAAGAGAGCGAGAGAGAGAGAGAGAGAUCGAGACAGAGUUCGCGGGGAGGGGGGGGGAGUGUAUUCAAAGAGAACACGGUGAACCAAUCACCGUGUCUAGACACGGUGAACCAAUCACCGUUUCUAGACACGGUGAAUGGUUCACCGUCUCCAAUAGCAAUAUCAACGGGUGCGAUAUCUCCAUCGAGCACGGUGCACCAAUUACCGUGUCUAGACAGGGUGAUUGGUUCACCGUGUUCAAUAGAAACACCGAACACCGCGUUCCUAUUGAACACGGUGAUUAGCUUACCAUGUUUAGACACGGUGAACCAAUCACCGUGUUCGACUUAACUAGUUGGCCCCAGCCGUCCCGCGUGGCGCUGACGUGGCGCUGGCGUGGCGGGCCAGGACCAUUUUUGUAAAUAAAUUUUGGACAGGGCUAUUUUUGCAAAUAAAAUUUGUCAGGGGGCUAUUUGCAAAAAAAGCACUUUAUUCAGCGUGUAAAAAAAAUUUUUUUUUUGGAAAACUUCAAAUACCACCCUGACCCCUGUAGUUUCACAACUUCUCACUUUUGUACCCUAUAGUUUAAAAUUUAUUCAGCAUGUAAUUUUUUUUUUUAGAAAAUUUCAAAUACCACUCCCGACCCCACCUGGUUUCACAUCUUUUCACUUUGGUACCCUAUAAUUUAAAGUGUAUUAAUUUAGUGCCUUGUAGUUUCAUUUUUAUCUUUUUAUUAUCGAUUCAACUAAUUUUUUUCGCUAAAUCAGUGACAAAUUUAAAACUAAAAGGUACUAAAAUAAAUAUUCGAUAAACCUAGGUGGGAUAUCUAAAGUUUUUUUUUUAUAUAAUUUAACGAAAUAUUAACGGAGAAGCUAACAAAAAGGUAAAAAUAAAACCACAGGACAGUAACUUAAUACACUUUAAACCACAGGAUACUAAAGUGAAAAAAUGCGAAACCCCAAGGAUGGUAUUUAAAGUUUACCCUUUUUUUAUAAUUAAAAGCUAUAACUUUACAUCCUUGCAAUAUUUAAUAUUUGUGAAAAUAUUGUAUAUUGUAUAUAUUAUAUUAUAUAUUAUUAUAUUAUAUUCGGAAUGAUGGAUUUAUUAUUAAUUUAUUAAAAAUAUUUUAUUACUAAAUUACUAAAAAAAAUUCAUUAAAUAUAUUUUAAAAAUAGUAACAUAUUUUAUAACUGUCCAACUUAAACUGAAUGAUAAUAAUUUUAUAAAGAAUUAUUAGAAUAUUAUAAAUCCGUGAACAAAAGAGGUCAAUAAGAUAAUAUAUUUUAUUUUUUAGAAAAAAAGACUUGGAUCAUUUUAUAUGUUUGAUUAGAGAAUUGAUAUUUGCCGAAGCAAGAGACUUAGAAAAUGGUUAAAUACUAUUUAUCUGUUCCGGCAAUAAUCUAGCAAAUAUUAAAAACUAAUUCAUAAAGUUUGAAUUAAAAAUCACAAUAAACUAAGAUUUAAGAUCCAAAUAUAGUUGGUCUCAUAGUUGAGAAUUAAAAGUGUGAUUUAUCCUUAACGACUUUAAUAUAACAAAAAGAAUAUACCAAAUAAUUUCGUGAGAUAGGAGAGAUAUAUACAUCUGCAUUUUGCAUGGUUUUUAUGCUUCCCAAGUGAAAAAGAAAAAAAAAAAAAAAAAAGCGUGUGACGAAUUUUACUAUGGUCACGCACAGUUAUAUGCGGAGGAAUGCUUUAAUACACCGGCUAAAUUAAAUUUAGUCGUUCAUAUUUUAGGGACGAGAUUGACUUUUACAUAAUAGUUACCUGCUCAACAGGUUACCAUCCGUAAGCGUAACAUAGGAAAAGAAAUACGAGCUAAUUACCAAAUUUGAUUAACCAUAUACAAAUAUUUGUUUUCUUAUUUAAUUUUGUUACUUACCAAAUUAGAAAGUGCUAAUUUGAUAAGUAAUAAACCUUUAUUUAAACUUUAUAAUUGCGUACAUUAAAUUCAAAUUUAAUUUUAAUUUUAAUUUUUAGAACGAAAAAAUUUAUGUUUAAAUGAAUAGUAUAUUUCAAUUCAAAUUGUUAAUUUGAUAUUAAAACGACAUGAAAUUUCAAAUAUAUUAACUUAUUUUAAAUUGUAAAUUAUGUUGUAUUUAUAAACAUAACUUUUAUUAUUUAUUUAAAUUAAAGGCUUCUAUUUUUAUAAAUUCAAGUGCUAAUUUGAUAAGUAAUAAACCUUUAUUUAAACUUUAUAAUUGUGUACAUUAAAUUCAAAUUUAAUUUUAAUUUUAAUUUUUAGAACGAAAAAAUUUAUGUUUAAAUGAAUAGUAUAUUUCAAUUCAAAUUGUAAAUUUGAUAUUAAAACGACAUGAAAUUUCAAAUAUAUUAACUUAUUUUAAAUUGUAAAUUAUGUUGUAUUUAUAAACAUAACUUUUAUUAUUUAUUUAAAUUAAAGACUGCUAUUUUUAAAAUUAAAUUCAAAUUGUUCAUUCGAUAGUAAAAACAACAUUAAAGUCUAAAAAUAUUGAUUAAAAUUAAAUUUUAAAUUUAAUUAGAUUUAAAUGUAGAUUGAAUAUGAAUUUCUCUCUCAACAAAGAAAAAAAAAAGGUAAAAUAGCUUCAAGUAAAAUAUCUGUGAAUGAAAAGUUUCUAAAAAUAAAAUGGAAUAUCUUACCAAAUUACUAGAAUAGUAUUAUGGAAAUGAAAAUAAAAAUUUACAAAAAAGCCCUUCAUGCUAAUCUUACAUAUGAGGAAAUAAUUUAUCCUUGCUAGGAGGGUGACUGGUAUCUAUGGCAACAAAAGUCAAUCACCCUCUUAACUAAAAGCGAUCUCCAUCAUUCAUUUUAAAAAGUUUAAGGGCCGAGAUCGUUUUGAUGUAUAGGAGCAUUGCUCUUAUAUGCGAGCAUCAUGUGUGUAAUAUAAGAGACUAUUAUAAAGUUUUUUAUACUCCCACGCGCAGUUAUACUUCCAGGCGAGCAUCAUCUGUAUAGUUUAAGAGACUAUCGUAAGAUUCUUCGUACGCGUGCGAGCCGAGAGACACACCAAAAUUAAGGGUGUGCCGGGGAGGGGGGGGGAGGAAUAAGCACGAUUACUAAAGCAUGAUCGGGAAUAAGCACGAUUAUUAAAGCAGCGGGACCCGAUGGAGACGGGCGAGGGGUGUACGUCGCGGGGGCCGGUUUCGGAUUUUUACCGCGAGAUAUCCGGCUCCGAAAAAGUGCGCGUAUUAUAAGACGGGGGAUAAGGGGUUUUUUAUUUUUUAUUUUUUUUUUUUUUUGAGACCAGAAGGGGACCCCAUAAUUUGACUCGAAAAAUCAACUCCCGGAGAGGAAUAAUAACGCAGGAUAACAAGGAAUAAAACUUAGUCAUUGAAUAGUGAUUUGAUUUGAUACCUUGGAUUUGACUCUUACCGGGUCGGAUCCUUGAUCAAGUGAUUAGAUUUUAGGCUCCGUUUUAAAUUACAGAGAAUUUAAAUUAUGUGUGUGCGGUGAAAAAGUACGAUAUAUAAAAAAUAUUCUCGUGGGUUAAAAACUGUUUGUAAUUAAGAAAAUUGGGGCCUUAUUAAGAUGAGAGAAUGAAAAUAUAUUUUUCGAUUGAAAACUCUAUUUUUGCAAGUAUUUAGUACCUUUUCUUUUUUGCGGUGAGAAAAUAAAUUAUGUAGUGUCAUUUUUUAAAUUUUUUAAAUUUUUUUAUUUAUAUCUAAAAAUUAAGUGCAAUAUUCGGUCGCGUAUCACCGACAUAGUUAGUUAAUUCACGAAUUAUUCACGAAUUAUUAAAAAUCUGAAUAAAAUGAUCCGUAUAUAAUUUAUUCCCAAAAAAUUAGAAUUGUACGUGAAUUUUUUGAUUAAAUUUAUUAUUCGCGAAUAAUUCGUGCAUGCCGAACUAUUCGGGAAAAAAAAAACACGCAAAUUUUUUAAAUAAAUUUUCUUGCUGAAUUAUUGUCGAAUUAUUGGCAAAUUAUUGAAAAACUUUAUGAACUUCCGAAAUAUGUGGAUCGUGAAAAAGAUAAAAAUGAAGACGACAAUAAAAUUUGCUAUUAAUUUUUUACUUAAUCUAUUUUAUUUUACAGCUCUCUUUUUUUUUUAUAUUUUUAAGAAUUUAUAACUAUGUAUGCUAAUAGCAUAAUUUUUUUUUAAAAAAGCUUAAUUUAAUAGCCGAAUUUUUUAUCCCGAAUUGUUAAUUGGUAAACGUAUAAUAUAUAUCCGUAUAAAUCGCGUAUCUGAAUAAUUGACGAAUCCAUUUUUUAAGCUGUAUUUUUUAAUGAAUUUAAAAAUUAAGAUACGAAUUUUAUUCGAAUUAUAGUCGUACCAAUUUUUUGUCAAAUCUGAAUUAAUUAACUAUGAUCACUGAUGCUUCUAAAGAAGAACUUCUAAUUUUAGUGUUUCAUUGUUCUUGUUUAAAAAUCGUAAACUUAUGAAUAAAAUUAAAAAUUAUCAAUAAAAAAAUUAUUAAUAAAAAAAGAAAAAACUUCAAAAACCCCCAUUGUGGUUUCACACUUUUUCACUUUAGUACCCUGUGGUUUAAAAUGUAUCAAGUUAGUACCCCGUGGUUUCUCACUUUAUCACUUAAGUACCCUGUGGUUUAAAGUGUAUCAAGUUAGUACCCUGUGGUUUUGCACUUUAUCACUUUAGUAUCCUGUGGUUUUAAUUUUGUAUCAAGUUAGUACCCUAUAGUUUUUUAAAUCACAAGGUACUAAAGUGAUAAAGUGUGAAACCACAGGGUACUAAAGUGAUAAAGUGCAAAACCACAGGGUACUAGCUUGAUACAUUUUAAACCACAGGGUACUAAAGUGAUAAAGUGAGAAACCACAGGGUACUAACUUGAUACACUUCAAACCAUAGGGUACUAAAAUGAAAAAGUGUGAAACCACAGGGGGGGUUUUUGAAGUUUUCCCAUAAAAAAAUAAGAAUUUAGCUUUUGCAUGUUUUAAAUUUAGUGGGAUAGGUGAAAUAGUAUUGAUCUAAAAAUUACAAAGUUGAUAAAAAAUAUUAUGUAUUCACUAUAAAUAAUAUGUUUUGAGGAACUCGUAAACUUACUACUAUCAUCAUUUUCAUUAAUUAUUAUGGUGGCGUAAAGGGCACACGUCAUUAACUGCAUGGUAAAAAUUAACUAUGCAAGUGGUUAUUAAUUGAGGGGCCAAAUUGUUAUAAUUACACGGUACGUCACGAGAAUUUAAAUUAUCCUAUGCUAUUUUAUGGGCCGUUGAAUAUAAAUAUGAAAAAAUAUUAAAAAAUAUUAAGUAUAUUUUUUAAUAAAAAUCAGAGCAAGAGUGUUUAGUUCGAAUUCUGUUAGAUUUCUAAUGUAAUUAAUUUUCUCCUACUUAAUUUAAGUUCACAUUUUGAGCUUCUCAAUAAAUUGUAAGGUCAAACGUGAAGAAAAGUAUUGAAUAUAAAUAUUUAAAAUAUUAUUUUCUGAUAAAUUUAAGUUCUUAAAGAAUAAUAGUUAUUUCAUGCCGGAGUCUUUUUUCAAUGCUAGUUUUGGAACCAUAUAAUCUUGCUAAUGCAAUUUGAGAUCACAUAUAUAUUUUUUUUUACAGUUUAAUCUAUGUUGAUAUUCUUGAUGUUCUUCUGUAUUGUUAAUGAAAUUGUUCACCGGAUUACUAUUAAAAAAAUAAAGAUAAAAACGUAGAGAACUUAUAUGAACUAUGCACUAUUUUGAUUUUAAUAUCUUAUCGUUCCAAAUUUUGAUUUGAUUAUACAAGCUUUUCACUUUAUUUGAUCUGAGUUAGCCAACGAUAUUUUGACUUCAAAAUUUGAAUUCAUUACUUAUCUUUAUAGAAUUAAUUAGUAUAUUUCAUGCAGUUUUUAUAAUUAUAAAUUUGUUAAAGUGAGUAACUAGCUUAAAUUUUGAAGUUAAAUUGUCGUUGACUAAUUCAGAUAAAAAAAACUGAAUUCCAAAAAGUUGGAUAGACAAAUUAAAGUAGAUUAUAAUUUAGUUAAAAUCCUAUACAUGUUUACCUUAAAUUAAAAAUAUAUAUAUAUGCCAAGUAAAAUGGAAAAGUGCCCGUUUAAAAAUCAAGUACAACACAUAACUUUUUACUUCUCAUUAUGAAUAUCAUCAUAUACUACUAAAAAAAAGGAGAAAUAGGAUAACACGCAUUCAUGGUGACAAGAAUUAUAUGCAACCCAUGCAUUGCGGUUCCAACUAAAAGAAUUAAAACAACAAUUUAAAACUUUAUAAAUAACAUUUACAAAAUUAAAACUUUUCACUUCCAUUAAAAUAUUUUAGAGGAUUAUUAACAAAUAAUUAUUACUUUUAAAAAUGUAACAUUUCAGAAUUGUAGGGAUGCAAAUAAAUCCGGAAUGGUGGAGGCGCUGUCUUAAAAGAAUAAUAAUAAUUCGUUCAGAAUUUAUCCCGAUCUUCUAAAAAAUUAGAGCAAAAGACAAAAUUCUCUUCUUCUUCUUUUUUUUUAUCUAGUUUGAUUUCUUAGGCAAUAUUUGAUUCGAGAAUAAGGAAGGAAAUAAGCUUUUGUUCUCCUCUUUGUUUCUAAACGUAAAUUUUCGUACCCAAAAACAAUAGUUCUUGAUAUAGUUCUUGGGUUCAUGAAAUAAGCUGGUAUCACCUAGUAUUAAGUCUGGAGCUGUUGUUUCACCUUUUUCCCUGCAACAAACUUGUUUCCGAGUGGGACGAGUUUAAUUAAAGUCUAAAUUUAAUUUUAAUUAUUAUGGUAUUAAAUUAUUAAUUAAUCUAAUUAAUUAAAAUAUUUAAAUCAUUAUUCAUUGCUUAAAUAAUAAAGUAAUUAAUUGAUUUAUUACUUAUAAUUAAUUAGUUAAUUAAUUAUUAAUAAUUUAAUGUGUUUAUCCAUAAAACUAAUUUAUUUAUAUUGAUCAACCAUUAAUUUUUGUAUUAAUCUAAUUAAUUUUUUUACUAGUUAUCUAACUAAAAUAAUUUACUAACUAAUUAAAAAGUUAAAUAUUUUUAUUAUCUUAUAUAAUAUUCAUAUCUAAUAAAUUUAUUUUUAAUUAAUAUUUUGAUGCUAAUUAAUUAGAUAAGCUAAUUUUAAUUUAAAAUUAUAACUCUUAUUACUCUUAUUCCAAUCCAACCAUCCAACUACUAUUUACUUUUUCUUCUGAACAACUAAAUUUUCUUUCAAACAUAAAAUUGGUCUAAUUCUUGCGUAUGCCUGAACUUAUGAGUAGGUCUUGUGUGCUAUUAGGAGCACGGAGGCCUCCGUGCUCCUACGCCGUUUUCGAUGAUGGAGCUUCCGAAUCGACGAUCGGUUCCGUUAAACUUCAUCUAGCGUAUUUGAAGUAUCUAGAAAAUGAUUUUUACAAUUUUUCGAUAUCAUUUAUCUAACGAUCAAAAGGGUUCAAAAUCAACGGCUGAAAAUAAAAAUCUCACAAAAAGUGGUGAUAUAGCAUUAAAAUUUUCGAUUAGAGACAUUGAUCUUGCUGUAAAUAGUAUAAAGAAUUUUCUAUCAAAAUUUCAUAUGAUUUAAAUACUUCUACACCGUUAAACUUACAAACGGUAUACAUCAACCAUUAAAAAUUGUUGAUUUUAAAUCCUUUCGAUCACAAGGUAAAUGAUAUCGAAAAAUCGCAAAAUUUAUUUUCUAUAUACUUCAAAUAUGCUAGAUCAAGUCUAACGGAGCCGAUCGUCGAUUCGAAAACUAUUUCAUCGAAAACGACUUAGGAGCACGGAGGCCUCCGUGCUCCUAAUAGCACACAAGACCUACUCCUGAACUUAUAUAUAUUUUCAGAAUACUUAUUUAUAUCCGAACCAAACGAUAUCCUAAUAAAAAAAAAAAACUAUCAAAAGUUUGCUCUCACCCUGACCCAUCCGAAUAAGAUAAUAAAUGAAAACAAAAAGUAGAAUAAAAAUCUAAAUAAUCGGAGCGAAAGGUUAGAGAUCCCACGUAUAAUAAUUCAUGGUGCGUAACGACGACCACAUCGAAGCCGACACAUAGCAUAAUGUAUAGAAACAAAUCAUAGUGUAUUAUUAAGAAUGUAUUACUUAAACCGGUUUUUUUUCCUUUUUUUCAUUAUGUCGUUAGCCUGAAUUGGACGAUGCGUCGUUAAUAGUAUUAUUAUUAUUAUUAUUAUUAUUAUUAUCUAAUAAUAGUGUUGUACUAUUUUUUUUUUUUUACUUUUUGAAGCAAUUGCUUAUAUUUCUAAAAAGUUAUCUACUUUUUUAUUUACCCUCUCAGAAGGGUAAUAUUAAAAAUAUGCUUUUUUCGUUCCAAAUUAUUUCAAUAUAUCCCUUAAAAUUAAACUCUGUUAGUUAACUAUUGGCAAUAGUCAUUAUCUCUAUAAAAUUACUAUUUUACCUUUUCUAAUAUACUCUUUUACCAUCACCACCUUUUCUUAUUUGGCCUUCAGUUAGGAUAAAAAAAAUAUUUUGAUUUUCGAUCUUUUCAAAUAUAUCCAUCUAUCCUCACCAACUUUUCUUAUUUGUUAUUAAGUUAAGGACAAAAGAAAUACUUUAAUUUUUUAACUCUAGUAGUUAUUUAACUCACGUUAAAUUUGAAUUAAUUUAAUAGAGAUAACUAUAAGAAUACAUUAGAAACAAAAAAAAUAAAAAUAAAUUAAAUAUUUUUAAAAUUUUGAAGAGUAUAUAGUAAAUUAUUCCUUAUUGUUUUUAACUUAACUUGCUCGAGGCGUUUCCAAGGCAUUUUCUUCAUUUAGUCCGUGUUGGGUCGGAUGAGGCGCAGGACAUCAAAUGGGACUCACACGUGGGCCCCACCCACCCACCCAAACCCGCCCACCCACCGCUGAAUCUCUGCUAACCUACUGCUCAUCAUGAAACAAAAAUUCAAAUACAAGGCAGUCGCAUCCACCGCUCCCCCCCUGCUUUAAAAUUCGCGCCAGUUUGUAUGAUAUGAUAUGAUAUGAUAUGAUAUGAGCAUCUUAUAUUGGAAAGUGUCUCUGUUAAACUUUUAUCGCUCUCGUUGAACUUUUAUUAAGGUGAGUUCUCAAUAAUCUGUACUAUAUAUAUAUAUAUAAAAGAGUAAAUAAAAAAAAUUUGAAUUUGUCACAUUUUUUGUUCAAACAUAACACUAAAUUUUCAAAAAUACAUCUAUGAUUCAACAUUUCAUAUAAAUUUUAUUUAAUUUUAUUUUCUAACAAAGUUCUUUAAUUUGUCAACUAGCACAUUCAAAAUUUUCUUAAUCUAAAUUUAAAUGAUAGAUCGAAUUUCACAAUAUUUAUUAUGAUUCUUUUUUUUGUCCAACCAAAAGUAGGCGACUGCAAUUAAGUAGAACUCAUUCGUCUACACAUACAAUCAAACUUCACCACGAUUCAGAGACGAAAUUAUUUUGUAAAAUUUUUUUUUUUUUUUUUUUGCAAUGCAUGGAUUGCAUGCGCACUUCUACUAAUAGUAGCAGUAAAAAUAAUAAUAAUAAAUAAAUAAUAAUAAACAGAAAAAACUGAACUCAAAAGUAUAAUUGGUAGGAAUGCAAAUGAAUUUGAAUUGGUAGAACCCCAUUUCCGAUCUGCCCAAACAUAGUAAGUGAGAGUAAAAAGUAAAGAAAAAAUAAAAAAGGAUUCAUUCCGAACCCAUCCCAAUCUGCUAAGAAAUGAAGUCAUAGGAGAAAAAUCCAUUUCUUCUUUUGGUCGGAUCCAAACAGCUCCGAAUGGAGUAAUAAAUAGAAUAAUACAUAACUAGAGGUGGCAAUUCAGCUCGCUGUUCGCGAGCCAGCUCGAAAUGAGCUCGAGAUCGGCUCGCUCGUUUAGUAAGCAAGCCGAACACGCACUGGAUUUUUUAGCUCGUUUAAUAAACGAGCCGAACAUGAGCUGGGAUCAGCUCGCUCGUGUUCGGCUCGAUAACAGCUCGAAUACAUAUAUUUUAUAUUUAUAUAAUUUAUUUAAUUUAUAUUUUUAUAUAUAAAUAAAUAAUUAUAUAUAAUAUAUAUUUUUAUUAUUUAAAUUUUAGCAAAAUAAAAAUAUAAAUGCGAGCUUAAUUAUAAAAAGACUCCAUUUAUAUAUAAGUUUCAACUAUUAGAUCAAAGUCUAAUGGAUAAGAUUUUAUAAAUUUAUUUUUUAAUAUAUUUAAUUAAUCUUUUUUAAUUUAUUAUUCGCUGGACAGCUCGUGAGCCGGCUCGUGUUCGGCUCGUUAAUAAACGAGCCGAACACGAGCUGAAUUUUUUGGCUCGAUACUUUAACGAGCCAGCUCAUGUUCGGCUCGUUUAAUAAAUGAGCCGAACACGAGCCAACCCCAGCUCGCUCGUGUUCGGCUCGUUUACACCCCUAUACAUAACAAUCUACCCUAACACCACCAAAAAAACAGGACGGGAGGUGAGAAGGUGAGGGACUACUCUCGCACCGAAUCCACCAAUGUUUGUAUCCCUAAUCAUCUGGUGACUAGGUGAGGGUCUAUUAUGCUUUGGAAGAGUUUCUCUACUUGACAAAGCCAAAGCGUAUGAACGGUGUAAUAUCACAAAAGGAUGAAAUAUCCUUGUUCCUUAAACCCUUAAAUGAGAGUGAACUAGGGGAGUGGGAAUUAAGAUUUAAUGAACAUAUAUAGAUCAUCAAUCCAAACCCGAUCCAUUUGAUAAGCAGAUGGAAACUCAAAAUUCAAAUCCAACCCAUUUAUUAAAUAAGUUGUGUUGAUCUGUGAAACCCAUUUAAUCAUCUAACUAAUUAUUCACAUAUUAAUUGAAGUUACAUGUGUAGAAGAAAAGUUUAAGAACUAUCAAAAUCUUAACUUACAUAUAACUAAGAUGUAUAUAGAAAAUACAACAUAAUUACAUGAAUUUUUAAUAUGCUUCUAUUCAUAUUUACAUAUAUAUUAUAUAUAUUUACAUAAAAACCGAUAUUAAGCUGGUCAACUCAUUUCUGAUCUUGUUUAAGCUAAUAAAUCCAAACCCGCAAACUUCGCGGUGAACCGUGCCGACUUAAACUGCCACCCCUAAGCUGCAACUUCUCAUGAAUAACUUAGAUAAAACACGUUUCUACGACCUCUAACUAAAACCCAGGUGGUCAGAAUUAGCACUUCAAAAUAAAAAAUUAAAAAGAGAUCCUUAGCAUGAUGACAAACAAUGGGAGAGAGAUCACAACAGCUAUGCAAAGCAUUAAAGAAAUUGAGUGGUUUAAGCAAAGUCAAACGAAUGCGUAUCCCCAACGAAAGCACAUCUGGACAUUAAUAAAGAUAAACUCCGACACUAAAUAGAAAGAUGACAAGUGCCAAGCGCCAGUUUAGUUGAUUAAAUAGAAAGGCCUAAAUAACUUCAAUCUCAAGCUAUAUAUAUAUUUAAAGCUCCAACAAAUCCCUUUCAAAUUUAUUAAUUCCUCAGUAGGGAAAGUAUACGGGAAAGCUUAAAAUGAAAUAGCAGCAUGGAACAUCGGAUAAUGAGGGCAUUUUUGGAUCAGUAAAAUUGGUUGUAAUGAACAUCCGUAUAUUUGUAGCAUUGAGUAGGAAAUCACUUGGGCACUAUUUACAGUAAAGAGAUCAAACACAAGGGUAGAGUUUGACCGUUGCCGACGAACCUAAACAGAAAGGUCUCUUUCCUAACAACCUAACAGAGAGACCUCUUUGACGAGUUAAUGUGAUGAAUAUGAGCGAAACAAGAAAGAAUGGGUUGGCACUUACAGUUGGCCUAUACAAAGAAGUCAGGCGAGGCGAACUCGAGCGCAAGUUUUUCUACAUUUUCAGUGUUAGCCGAUCCAUAUGCAGAUGGAGCCGUCAGCGCUACCCGACGCCAACAUGUAACGCCGUGUCUGAUUCCAGCUCACAGAGUUUACGGCCUUUUCGUGGCCAGUUAAGAUCCUAAAGGGCAGUUGAUGUUCCCAAUGCCAGAUGUAUAUCUGCAAGCAGAAUACAAAAGUAUUAGAAGAACUAUUGUUCACAGCUGUUCAGAGAAACAGCAGAGAAGCUCCUCCAGAUAGAUAAGAUAGAGGAAAAGGAGCUUCUUCAAAGGCCAUGGUUUUAACAAGUUUGCCAACAAGGAAAAGGUGAUGGGUCGGCUUCUAGCAGGAAAUUUUAUUUUAUUUUUUUUAAAAAAAACUCACAAUCAGCAAAUGAUGGAAAAUUAGUCCCCUGUUUGCAGGGGCGAAAACUAAUAUGAAAGCAAGGAUAAAAUGCAGGAAAACCACUAUUGAAGCUGUCAUCUUCAAUUUAAGACCCAAAAACCGAAACCUAUAUCUGAACCCCACAAAUCGCUUAGCCUCAUUUGGCAAGUGUUAGUGUAUAUCAAUCUGCUUCCAGGCCGAUGGGGGUAAAAUUAGGUUUUACUCUUUCUGGGGGAACAAUAUAAAUAUCACAAUAUUUAUAGCGGGGACUCCUGCCCUUUAGCUUAAAUGCCGUGAAAAUAAUUUUCAUAGAAAGUAUUACCUGAGAACCCACACUGCCGCUGGCAAUGAAACAAUCUGACCCUCCUAAGGAUGAUCCCACAAUUUGCUUGCAAGCCUUACAUGUUCGCUGCUUCAAUUGCUGACGAAUGUUCCACACACAGAUCUUUUCAAAAUUCACAUUCGCAAUCAACAAUUGAUGAUCAUUUGAAAGCGACAGAGAUGUCACAACUUGUUCCUCGUUUAAUUGGAACCUUAUAUCCCCAGUGAAGCUAAGUAAACGGAUAAUAUUAUCCGAUCCAACACAUGCAAGAAGGCCCUUAUGUGUCGCUACCAUAUCAGAAACCUCAGGAAUUAUAUUAAUAGGUAUCAGUUGGUUAUUGUGUCGGUCGAUUCUGUAGAUGAAACUAUUAGGGCCGCAGCUGCUGAAAAACAUUGUUUCCGAAUAGUCAUGCAACGCACAUGAGCCCACGCCUCCAUUACUUGGAAUGCGGAUAGUGCGCUCGCAUCUACCAGUAUUGACGUCCCAGAGUUUUGCCACUUCUCCUUUUGCACACGUAAGCAGCCGGGUGUCAUUAAAACUCCACUUCAAUGAGGUCACAGGCUUUUCAUGUUCCUUGAGAGUGUGCUUCAGGGUUAUAUUAUAAGCACCAUCUACCUGAAAAGGAUUAUGCGAGUGAUGAUCACACAUUACAGUCAAUAUGAUAAUAUUUUACAGAAUAAUAAAAUACCGGGAAGCAAUUGGUUGCAGUAUACAUAAGAAUAAUUCCCUAAAAAAGCUAAAAGGCAGAAGCUAAUCAAUUUACAGCUUUCGUGAUUAGUCCCUCUCUCUUCGCUUCGCUGUUUCUUUUGCGAUGGUCACGAAUGGUGACAAUAUUAGAGGAGCAUUGCCGAAGUCCUCAAAUCCAUCAUCCAUUUCCAGCAACAUUCUUAGUGGCAGCCCAUGCCACAUUAUAUGGCCAACGUCAUAUAUAAACACGGCUUAAAUGGGCUCUGUUACACUACUUAAACAUGGCUUACCAUAUCUUCCAUAUAUUACAAGAAUAACAUGUAUCACAUAAGAUGCUCUGCACCAAAUUAGCACACCAUUUAUGACACGACAGACUAUCAAAGCUUAUUCUUGCUAUAGAAGUUGAGAGAGUUCCUUGGAAAUAGUCAAGGCGGCAAUAAUUCUCCAUUUCUUACAAUAUUAGACUAGUGUAUUUGUACAUACCGUCCAUAUGAUGACAGAGCAAUCACUCGAAGAUGAAGCCAGGUACUGUCCAAAAUUUGAAAAUUGUACUUGUAAAACCUCUCCCUUGUGGUCCGUUGCUUUCUGGAACAAGUAGUCCAAAAUUUGUCAAAGUACUAAGAGAAGGAAUAUAACAAAGUGUAAAAUGUAUUGGUAGUGCCUGUACUAUCCAAUAUCGGCAACUUCGCCCCUAAACUUUUCACUUAAACACUUCAGUCUCUAAACUUUCACUUAUAUUCUACCUUCAUUGCCACAUGGUUUCAAAAUUCGAAAACUGUUGAUUUUUGACCUUUUUAGUCCUGUUUGAAGUACACUGAAGUCAUGUUAUAGGAGAAAAUAUAAAAUGGGAAUUUACAAGAAACCAAGAGAUUCAGAACUACGAGGUCUUUCAGAGAAGUAAAUCUUGCAAAUCAAGAAGACUAUUGACAAGCAUACAGUCAUUUGACUGCAGGACAAAGAUUGGAACGUUGUGAGAGUUAGAAACCACUAAUGCAACAAAUAAAAGUUCAGGGACAAAAUUGAAACUUGUGCAGUAGUAGAGGAACCAAAUGGUGUAUUUAAUCAAUCUGCAAGUUAAUUGACGGCUAGAGACUUGCGUCACAGAAACAGCAUGCUCAGUUGCUCACAUGAUAAGAAAGAAAACGCCCAAGAAGCUAAUGUACAGAUUAGUUAUUAACUCUAACAAGAACAACGGAUCAAUCAAAGAGGAAGAACCAAUCAAAUUUACAUCACAAUUACAGCAUGCUCAGCUCAUAUGGAAGACAUCAAAGAUGCUAAUGUGUAGAUUAAUAUUUAACUCUAUCAAAAUAUUGUCACAAUAACAGCAUGUCCAUAUGACAUGCAAGAAAACAUCCAAGAAGCUAAUGCGCAGAUUUAGACAUCAAGAAGAACAAAUCAGUCUAAGAGGAAGAUCCAAACGUCAAACUCUAGCAACAAGAACGGUGAAUCGAUCUAAGAGGAAGAGCCAAUUAACAAAUCGCUGUGAGGAAAGAAGAUUCGAGUCGGAGAAGGACCUUGCAGCAGGUCCAGGUGACUGGGUACGUAUCACACAUGUUGGCGUUGAACAAGGAGGUCAGCUGUCGCCGACCGGGGGAUGUCGGCACCGCAAAAGGGGUGAUGAGCCCCAACAACUCAUCCUCGAGCAGCCUCCCACGCACGAAGAUCGCCGCCGGGAGCGCCUCGAGCAGGUACAAGAAGAGUCCGAUCCGCUGCUGCGCCCUCCGCUCCGGCGCGACGGCGCGCGCCCGCGAGCUAAUGUCGCGGACGAGGAAGAACGCGGCGUCGUCGGCGGCCAGCGGUGGGAUGUAGUCCCGGAGCAAGCGCUCGGCCCUGUCGGAGUGGUCCGGCGAGCCGAGGCGCUCCAGGACCUGCUGGCGCCGGACGAGGAACGCGGCGGCGCGGUAGGAUCCCCGGGCGAGGCAGGGGAUUCGCUCGAUCUCGGCGAUGAUCUCGUCCCAGCGACCGGAGAGGGUGAGGGAGAGGAGGGUUUGGGCGACGGGCGAGGCGGUGCGGGCCCCCGAUAGGAGCUCCAACGCCGAGGCGAAGUCGCCGAAGCCGAUGUCGUGGAGGAACGAGGCGAUGAGCCUGAGGAAAGGGCCGCGGUCGUAGAUGCCAUGCCGCAGGGACGGGACCUCAUCCAGUGGCGGAGUUGGAGGUCUCUCGGGAGGCGAGGGAGGUUCGUUCUCGUCGCCGUACGGCUCGAGAGGAAGAGCUCCGCGGAGGUCGCGAUCGCCCCCGUCGCUCAUGGCGUUCCCCCUUCUCCGAUGGAUCUUGGAGCGGAUAUGGAGGAAUCGAGGGAGAAUGUGUGGGAGAGGAGAUCAAAAUUAGGGUUUCGGAGGGCCCUAAUUGCGAGAGGAGAGAGGAGGAAGACGAUGUAGUGCGAAGGAGAGAGAGAGAGAGAGAAGAGAGAGAGAGAGAGAGAGAGAGAGAGAGAGAGGCGUUUGGGAAUGAGAGGGAAAUGGGAGCGGGAGAAAUCUUAUAUAUAGUGGGGGAGUGUGGUAAAAUGUAGGGAUAGUCCCUGAACUGUGGUAAUAUUUUAAUUUAUUAUCUGAAACAAUUUUAGGUAAUAUAUUUAAUUCUGUUUAUAUUAAACUAUAAUAAGAAAAAUAUUCUAGAAGAGAAGAGGUUAAACAUUUAUGCUCCAAAAUAUAUAUAUAAUAAUAUGAGUGACGCUGGAAUGCUUCUGAAAGCACGGAGCCCUCUCCAUGCUUUCAAAUUAUUUUCGAUGUUGGGACUUUUGAAUUGACGAUCGGCUCCAUUAGAGUUAAUCUAGAGUAAAAUUUUAUUAUUUUUUGAUAUCAUUUGCCUACUGUUCGAAAUGGUUCAAAAUUAACGGCUGAAAAUAAAAAUGUUACAAAAUAUGAUAAUAAAAUUUUAAAUCAAAUAUAUUAAUCUUAUUUUAUAUAGUGUAAAAAAUUUUUUAUUAAAAUUUCACGUGAUUUGGAUAUUUCUACGCCGUUAAACUUGUAAACAGCUCACCUCGGUCAUUAAAAUUAUUAAUUUUGAGCCCUUUCGUUCACUAGGCAAAUGAUAGCGAAAAAUUAUGAAAUUUAUUUUCUACAUACUUCAAAUACUCUAGAUUAAGUCUAACAUAACUGAUCAUCGAUUCGAAAGUCCCAACAUUGAAAACGACUUAGAAACACGUAAGGCUCUGUACUUCCAGAAGUAUAUCAGCCUCACUCAAUAUAAUAUAUACUAAUAUAGAAAGUAAAAUUAUAAAAUAUAAAAAUUUUAUGAGCUUAGAUAUUUAGAGAACUUUAUUAUAAUAUUUUUGUACAUCUUGUUAGAUAAAUGGUAUUAAGAAUGAGUUUUUGAUUAUUGUUUUUAGAUUUGAACGAUUACUGAACAAAAAAUUCGAUAAUCUUAUAGUAAAGAUGGUCUCUAUAAAAUUUUUAUUCCAACAAACAUUUUUUACUAGCAAAAUUUUAAUAAUCACUGUACAAUCGUGAAAAAGUAAUUGGAUAAACUUAUUUCUGCAAGUCAUUUUAACUUUUAAUUUAUAUUGUCUUAACUUUUUUAUUUUUUUAAAAUUACAUUAUUUUACUUAUCUUGAAAAUUUUAUUAAAUUAAGUUGCUUUAUAAGCUAUAACCUUUAGAGCCAGUUUGGCGGUUGUAAAAAUUAAAAACGGUAGUGGCCGUGUGGAGGACGUCCGGGAGGUAGAGGGGUGUGCGGUCAACGGAGUGGGAGAGCCUAUGGGUGUUAUUGGUAAGGGCGAGGAGGAGGAGGUGGUGGAGGGGCGCAGAGUCUGCGAAAGCAGCGACAACAUCAGUUGUGUAGGUGGCGGCGAUGUUGGUAUCAUUGUCGUCAUCGUCAUCGAAGAGAGCAGAUGAAGAGAGAGGAGUGGAGAGGAUGGAGCGAAAGUACGAGAAGGGGCAAAAAAAAGAAAAGGGUAGGAGAAAGUGCGGUAACGAGUAGAUAUUUUUUAAAAAGAGAUCCAAUUAAUAUUUUUUUUUUUCAAAAUUGCUCGGUAAAUAAUUUUUUUACUUCAUUGAACCUUUCAAAUAGACCAAUUAAAAAAUUAAAAAAUAUAAAAAAUAAAAUAAUUUAAUUUAUUAUUCUGUAUUGUAAACAGGCCCUUAAUAAAACUUCAGUUUUACUAAAAUAUGAUAAAUAAUAAUUAAAUUUAAUAGAAUUAGUCCUAGACUUGAUAUACAUAUAUGUAUAUGAUAGAUUUUUUUUUUUAAAGUUGAAGAAGCCAUGUCAAAAGAACCUAUAAUCAAGGGGCCUCCGUACAUUUUUUCCCAUUUUGAAUUGGUAGCGUGAGCGGGGAUGAGGCUCACUGAACCCGGUGCAGGCAAAAAUUUCUAAGGUAAAAUGUACAUUUAGUCCUCGAACUGUUCAGUUAUUGUACCAUGAGACUUGUAAGUUUGCUUAAACCAGAAUAUGGCCUGUAUUUUAGGGACUUAUAUUUUAUAAUAUGGCCUGUAUUUAAAAUUCGGGUUUGAAAAAGUUUUAAAGCUUCAAGCCCCUAUGGCAACUCGGCCGUGUUCGUUUAGACUAAAGUUAGAUGUAGAACUCGUGAGUUCGUGCAAUCCGAGAUUAUUUGUAUUCGAAGGAAUAUCGAACUCCGACUUUCAUGGAUCCCACAUAAUUCGCACGCAUGAGACAGUCUCACGAAGCGGCGGUUUCGCAUACAGUGUGAACUUGUGAUUUGGUGCUUAUUUCGAGAGAAGUCGAGUUUUGCUGUAUGGAUAGAAAUAUUUAUGAGAUGCAGUUUAGUGUUAACAGUUAACAAGAAUGUCUUUCGCUGAUGAACAUAUCUAAUUAGCUUAUAUAAUAUUAAGAAAUUUUGAUUGAUCUACAUAUAAAGACUUAUCAUAUUAUACAGAUUUGUCAAUAAAUAAUUGAUUAAAAAUUAAUACCGGUCAAUUUUGUCAAUCCAUUUUGUAAAAGAUGGAUGAUAAUCCAAUUUAAAUGUCGUAGAUUCAAAUUCAACUACGGAUUGUGCAAUAGAGAGGGGUUUUAGAUUUUGAAAUUUUUAAAGAUUGUAUGGAGUUGCUAUCAACUAUAGAAUAUUUUGAAAUAGAUCCCACAAUUUUAAUUUUUCUAAUUGACAAUCUUUUUAAUUAAGCUAGCAAUUUUAUUCAAUAUUGUAGCAAUAUGGUAGCUCAAUUAAGUAUUAAUAGUUAAUUGGUCUAGUUUUAUUCAUUAUAAAGUAGCUUAAAUUAUUAAAUUUAAUAAAAAUUAUCAAUUAAUUUGAUAAAUUUGAUCAAAAUUUAUAAUUAUUUGGCUAAAGUCUCUAAAUUCUGAAAAAUCAAAACAUACCAAUUUGUCAAUUUCAAAUAUUUAGGGGGCGAUUUCAAAAGAUGGAUCUCCACACAGUUUUACGGAUAGUUAGAAGUGAACGUGCUCAUUCUUAAUGAAAGAACGGGUUAGAUUUUGUCUCUUGAAAUAGACGGCCAGGAUCUACCGCCAUAGAAUCCUUACAUUUUUCAACAAUAUAACAGCAAUUUAACGAUCUCUCUUAACGCCUUAUAUUUUCUUUUUUUUCGUUUAUUUUUUUUAGGGUUUGGUGGGCUUCUCAAAAUUAUCUGGGACUCUUCUUCUUCUUCCUCCUCGGCAACCUUGAACAAAACCCUAAUUCUUCUUCUCAAACUGGCGCAAUCGCGGAAUCCAUGGAGGUCGCCGCGAACUCCCACCGCGAAUCCACCGCGGAAUCCGAAUCGAACCCUUGCGACCCCGCCGCGCUCGGUCCCACGGGGCUCAUCGAUCGCGAGGAGUUCGUAAGGAUCAUCCUCCAAUCCCUCUACUCCCUCGGCUACCGCAGGGCCGCCGAAACCCUAGAAUCCGAGUCCGGGAUCGGGGCGCACUCGCCGGAGUUCUUGGCCCUCCUCCGCCACGCCUUGGCGGGGCGGUGGGAGGAGUGCGUCGCCACCAUCGCCGCGGUCGGGGGCCCCGCGGCGGAGGCGCGGGCGCGGGCGUCGUUUCUCGUGUGGAGGGAGCACUUCUUGGAGCUCCUGGGGUCGAGCGAGGGGCUUGUCCCCGCGAGGGAGGUGCUCCGGUGCCGCAUCGACUCGUUGGGAAUCGAUCGCCGCAUGGUGCACCGCCUCGCGCGCUCCAUGAUCUCGUCGGAGGGGGCGGUGAGGACGGAGAGCGUGAUCGAGCAGAGGUUAGGGUUGCUGUUGGAUUUGGCCGAGGUGCUACCGCCGUGGGUUAGUGUUCCCGUUGGGAGGUUGGAGCGAUUGGUCGAAAUGGCGGUGGAUAAACAGAUCGCAUCCUGUGUUUACCAUAACGUUCCUGAUGAGGUUACCUUGUUCGAGGAUCACAAAUGCGGGGAAGAGAAGAUCCCUUCUAAUUGUAGCCAGGUGAGGUUCCAUUUCCUUCAGUUUCUGCUGCACUAGUUUGUUUUUUUAUCUAAAUAUCUGAAUUUUGCAAGAAAGGAGAAAUUUAUUUAUCACGGACGCUACUAUAAGCUUCGCAUGUCCGUGUCGGAGAGAUGACGCGGACAAGCAAUGGAUGCCCGUUCGCUGUGCGUCCAUUGUGCAUCCCAUUAAAAAGCAUAAUAGUAGUUUUUUGAUAAAUGCAUACAAGCUCUUUUUGGACUAUAUAAAUACAUUAGAAUAUAUGAACAAUCAAUUAAACUUUUAUUAACUUUCUUUCGAAUUAGAAAUAUAAUAAUAUUUUUUUAAAAAAUAAUAUGUUAUAUAUAAUAAAUAUAUAUUAUUAUAUUAAUAAUAUUAGUGGUGUCCAGCUGUGCCCCUGUCCUAAUUUUCUUAAAGCUGUCGAGUCGCUGUGUAAGAGUCGAGUCAUGUCCCGUCUCCGUGUCCGUAACGCCUAUGGAGAAAUUUUGUUUGUUUUUGGAUUGGACUAACAUUAUGAACUAGUUUAUUGUUUAAUGUUAAACAAGUGCCAAGGUAAUAUCGAUUAUCUCAGGUAGAAAAGAAUGUCUUCCAACUAUUUGUGACAAGAACUCUUGAAUUAUUCGUGUUAGCUAUUCUUUUGACCACGAUAAGCAGAAACAGCUGUGAAUUUGGUUUAAUAAUAUCGGGACAUCUAAAAUUGUCCUCUAUACCAUCAAACUCUGUUUCUACAUGGAGGAAAUUUUUGGGUGGCAUUUGGAGCAUUUUUAAUCACCUCAAAGUUGCUUCUUUAUAUCCCUAUCUCUCUUACAAUGCUCUUUACCUAAGUAAUAAGCAAAGUGGCCUAAGAUGUUUAAAU
rnacentral:lncRNA from 1 species